UUGUGGAGAGAUCCAUGCUCAGCACUGAGUUUGAGCCAUCUGAGAGCUGGGAGGUCAAAGCUGGUAACAGUUUUGAUUCUACCAGCUUGAGGGAUGUAGAUGUCAGGUGAUGAAGAUGAGUCAAUGUUCUGGUGAAGUCUUGCAGUGCAAAUGGUUUCCUCAAACCCAUUGUCUCUUUGGCUUCUGCUUCCACCUCUGCUGUGGCGGCGUGGCUGUCUCUUUUCUUCUUCAUCUUCAUCUUCAUCUUGUCUGCUGUGGCGGCGUGGCCGUCUCUUUUCAUCUUCAUCUUCAUCUUGUCUGCUGUGGCGGUGUGGCUGUCUCUUUUCAUCUUCGUCUUCGUCUUCAUCUUCUUCUUGUCUGCUGCCUCUUUGGUGACGUGGCUGCUUCUCUGAUGGGCUUAUGAAGCUGAGACCUCCUUUAACUUUGACAAUGGCUCCCUUCUCCUCAUCUUCGUCCCUGCCUUGAAGUUUGUCCACUAUAUGCCUGUUCACGUUCAAGGCGUCUUCCAAGAAAUCCCUCCUAAAGCCACUGAAAAUGUUGUUUCCUUCAUUUUCUUGUUCUUCCUUUCGUCCUUCUUGUUGUUGAUAUUGUAGAAACUCUUGUUCUUGGUUCCCAGCAAGGUAGAAUCUCUGUCAAGUAUUGUCAACAAUAAAAAAACAAACAGUUGUCAAUAAGUUAGUGUUAGAUGGCACUUAGAAACUCUCACUUAUGGUAGGUAGGUAGCUGACCCUAGGCAUUUGAUCAAGCUGGUUUUGGAAGCUGCUGGUGUCAAUAAGAGAAACAGCAAUAACUGGAGUGUCUUGGUCAUUGUACAUCCAGAAAACAACACCGGUAGGAACUGCAAUGAUAUCACCCUCUCUGAAACGGUUAACCUUUUGGUGACUGUCUCUGAAUCUGCGGCCCUCUCUUUGUUCAGAUUCCCGUGGCUCCAUAAAGGUCUCAGGACAACCAGGGAAUACCAUGCCAAAAUAUCCAUUACCUGUAACAUGGUAUACAUCAUAAUUAACUACUAUUAGUACUAUAUAACAUUAAUUAGUGGCAUUGUUAAUACUAUGUAACUAAAGAAGUUGGAAAUUAAUGGAAUAAGAUCAAAGAAAGUAACCUUGUUGGAUGAAAAUUUCCUGGGGAGCGUUGGUGUAGAAAGGUCUGCGAAGGGCAUUGCGUUGAAGGGUAGCACGAGAGAGGGCAACACCAGCACAUCGGAAUUGUCUGUUGUUUGGGUUCCAAGUCUCAAUAAGUCCACCUUCUGACUCUAUACGGUUAUCGGGUUCAAGGGCAUUGAGGUGUUCAAGCUGGCACUCAUUUUGCUGAGGCUGUUCUCUAAAAGCAAAACAGCCACCAAAAAGUAGAAAACAAAGUGAAAGAGAGAGCGCAAGAAGCUUAGCCAUUGGAGAGAGAGAAUAAUAUAUUUUGGUUUGUGAUGCGGAAAACCUUAAUAACAACUGUUACUUUAUAGGGAAGAGAGGAGUGUGGAGGAGGGACACGUUAGAGAAGGUGGAUUGUUGAACAUUAGACAUUCUUCAUCUUGCAUGGCUAUGGAAGUCUUGUGCAUUACACCUCAAAAUGUCUCAUACUGCAGGUGGCUUCAUUUCAACAUGUUCCAUAACCAAACAAAAUUAUAAGAGAGCAAGCUUGUUUGUAUAUUGCAAUUGCUUCGCAGCAGCAAAUAGCUUGCUGUAAUUAAUUUUUUUUUCUUCUUCUAUAUGCUGUUUUCUUUAAUUUCACGCAGGUGAUAAUUGAUUGCAUUUGUAGUAUUUAGAUAUAUAUCUACUCGAUUCACUUUUAAGUUAUUGUCCGUACAUUAGUGUUGGAUAUAUAGCACUGAGUUUGACAUGUAAAAAAAAACAGAUGGAUAGAUAUUAUGUAUGUAGCCUUUGAGUGAGAGACAUGUAAUAACAUAUGGAUAUAUAGAUAAUAGAUGUUUACGUGGCUAUUAAAUCAAUAUAUAUCCUAUCCUAAUUACUUACACCUCUGUUGUUGCGGCUUUGAGUAAUAGUUUGCAUGCAUCUGAUAGGCAAAAUAUAAUGUGGUAUUUUAAGUUAUUUAUAUUAAUUCUUAAGUUUGUUUUGUCUUAGAUAGUACUUUUAAGUCUUAAUAUAUGAAUGAUGUCCAUUUUUAUGAGAUUCCAUUUUAACUACAUUAAAAAAUUGUUCAGGUUAUUGUUUCGAUUUUGAUGGGAGGAUUAUGUGCUUACGUGGCAUGACUCAUUAUUUUAUAGUAUUUAUUUUGUUUAACAAAUGUCAAAUUUAAACAGUUUUGUCAAACAAAGCUUCAUGAAUAAUCUUCUCCCCUUAUGUGUCGUUUUCCUUUUCCCAUUCAUUGCACACAUGAAAGAAAUAACAAAACUUCUGAUAGUUCUUCACCUCGUCUUAUCCCAAAUCAUUUUCAAUGGGGUUUCAAUGUCAAUUAACAUUUUAAAUACCUAGUUUCUUCAUCUUCUUCUCUUCUUUUUUACUUAUGGAGUUAAGGGUUUUUGGGUUUAUACUUUAAACUCAUAAGUUGAAGGGCAAAAUACAUUUCAUCUAUUUCCAAAAAAAAUGUUGUCUAUGUUAGACAACCAGUAUGAGUUCAUAUACAGGUCUUUUAAAAAAUUAAUGUGUCGGUACAUAAAAAUAUACAAAAGGAAUGUCUUUCAUAAAUAUAAUAUUUAACAAAAAUUAUGUCUUUCAUAAACUUUCAACAUUUUAAAUCAAAAUAGAAUUAGGUAAUAAGUAUACGAAAUUGAGAAAUAUUAUGAUACAAAGAUGAUAUAUUUAUAUAACAGGACUCAGGAAAUAACAUUAAUAUAAUAAACUAUAAAAAAAAAAGUAUAUAAAGUAUGAUAGAAAAACUAUCCACAUAAUAAUAAAAAAAUAGAAUGAGAAAAUCUAAUUUUUAUAAUUAGUAAAAGCCAAAAACAUACUUAUUUAUCUGAGCACAGAUACGUAUCCAAAAAGUAUCUAUAUAUUUUCAAAUGAAAUACUCAAAUUUAUAUUUUAAAAAUUAAUUAUUGUUUUUUUAAGUUAUAUUUUAAAAAUUAAUUUUAGUACGUACAAGAUACUUAGCUUUAAAUAUCAUAUAAAUUAAUACCAGAUACAAAUACAAGUAACCACACAUUUGUUGGGUAUCCAUCCUUCAGAGUAUAAAAACCAAAGUUUGGUAUUUGGUGAAAUAUGACGGGAUUAAAUUAUAUGGUGUACUUUUGUACCCAAAAAAAUAAAAAUUAUGGCGUAUUUACAUUCAAUCUAACCCUCGCACAUAUCCAUUUUCAAAUUUCAUUAUUACUUUGUUCUUUUAGUUCUCGGUUUAGAUUAUGCGACCGUGAUAACAGUGCAUUAAAAUAUGAAAUUGCACAUUUAUCUCGUAAAUAAUUUUAUUUUCACUUUAAUUAAGUAACACACAUAAAAGAGGUCCAAUAAAAUUCUCACAAAUUUUCUUUUAUUUUCUCUCUAUUAUAACUGUUCGAUGCAUGAGUUUUCCUUCAAAUACAUAUUUGAGUGCUGGUAAUUUUUUGAAGCAGAUAUGGGACAUGUACUUUUAGUACUUAUCGAAAGAUACCUUUUAUCGUCUCUAAUCAAUAUGCAUUUCGUAAAGAUAUCUAGUUAUAACUCGGAGCAAUUAUAUAUAGAUUAUACAAAAAGCUCUUUUAAGAAUUUAUAUAAAAAUAAAUAAAAGAGUAAAACAAUAUUUUUGUAUAUAUCAUUCUUACACAGUGAGAGAAAAUGAGAGAGAAAACGAGAGAAUCUUAAUAGAUGAUAUGUUUUUUUCUGGAGAAUCUUAAUAGAUGAUAUGUUUUUUUUGACAAAAAACCUAUUUUAUUGUUGUUGUUCAUAGAUGUUAUUAAUAAUACCAACUUUGAUAAUAUAUAUAAAAUUGAUUUGAUAAUUAAGAUAAGACAAUUAAGAAAUUGAUUGAUAAAAGAGAUUGCCGAUUGGUUGAUUUGAUAAUUAAGAUAAGAGAAUUAUGAAGUUGUUGAAAAAAAAAAUAACACAAACUUUGACAGAAAAUCAUACAGCAUUUAAAUUUGGCUCUUUGUUUAUUUUGUUUCCGCAAAAGGUACAUGACUCGAGUAACUUUACACAUAACAAAAGGCAUCUAAGCCUUCAUUUUCUUAUUCAUAAUUUGCAUGAUUAUUCCUUUAUUCAUAUUGAUUUGGUACCAAAUCUAAGCUGCUGCUUUGUUGUCUGAGUCACUGCGGGGUGGAACAAGAAAUGAAAAGGGGCUGUUGAACUUGAGCUGCCUGGCCUCAUUUCUUUCCAUAUUGAAAGCAGCUGCAACAACUUCUUCUGGCAUACCAUUUAUCAAGGAAGAUGCUCCUAAAAGCCUGCCAAUAGCUGCUCUGUCAUUGGUCUUGAAUGCUACAUAUGAGAACCUGUCACUCAAUGAUUUUGCAGCUAUUGCAAAGUUUUGUGGCACUAUCAACGCCCGGCCAGCUUCUAGUUCCCCAUCAAACACACUGUUGCCUUUGCAGUUCACAAUUUGUAAUCUUGCACGUCCCUUCAAUGCAUAAAGUAUGCUGUUUGCAUUGAGGUUGUAGUGAGGCACAAACAUAGCAUUCUGUUACAUAUAAAUAGACAAACAAGUGAGUUACUUAUAUUCUAACACUUCCAAAUUCCAUUAAUGUUGAUAUGAAAAGAUUGUUUGAUAUAAAAUUAAGUCAUGAAAGACAUUAGGUUUCAUGGUUUGGUCUAGUGGUAAAAAGACCUACAUGUUGUAGGUUCAAUCUCUGCUAGUGUCAUUGGAAGUUGGCAAAUGUAAAUGCAUCAUCUUUUUUUAUAAAAAAGAGAAAUGACAUACUUUGUGGAGAGAUCCAAACUCAGCACUGAGUUUGAGAAACCUGAGAGCUGGAAGGUCGAAGCUGGUAACAGUUUUGAUUCUACCAGCUUGAGGGUUGUAGAUGUCAGGUGAUGAAGAUGAGCCAAUGUUCUGGUGAAGUCUUGCAGUGCAAAUGGUUUCCUCAAACCCAUUGUCUCUUUGGCUUUUGCUUCCACCUCUGCUGUGGCGGCGUGGCUGUCUCUUUUCAUCUUCGUCUUCAUCUUGUCUGCUGUGGCGGUGUGGCUGUCUCUUUUCAUCUUCAUCUUCAUCUUCCUCUUGUCUGCUGCCUCUCUUUUGACGUGGCUCCUUCUCUGGUGGAGUGAUGAUGCUAAGACCUCCUUUCACUUUGACAAUGGCUCCCUUCUCCUCAUCUUCGUUCCUACCUUGAAGUUUGUUCACUAUACGCCUGUUCACGUUCAAGGCAUCUUCCAAGAAAUCCCUCUUGAAGCCACUGAAAAUGUUGCCACCUUCAUUUUCCUCUUCUUCACUUCCUUCCUGCUGNNNNNNNNNNNNNNNNNNNNNNNNNNNNNNNNNNNNNNNNNNNNNNNNNNNNNNNNNNNNNNNNNNNNNNNNNNNNNNNNNNNNNNNNNNNNNNNNNNNNNNNNNNNNNNNNNNNNNNNNNNNNNNNNNNNNNNNNNNNNNNNNNNNNNNNNNNNNNNNNNNNNNNNNNNNNNNNNNNNNNNNNNNNNNNNNNNNNNNNNNNNNNNNNNNNNNNNNNNNNNNNNNNNNNNNNNNNNNNNNNNNNNNNNNNNNNNNNNNNNNNNNNNNNNNNNNNNNNNNNNNNNNNNNNNNNNNNNNNNNNNNCUCGUGGUUUCCAGCAAGAUAGAAUCUCUGUCAAUCAAAAUCAAACAGUUAUUAAUUCCAAUUUCUUUCACGUGAAUUAAGUUUAAUUAUAUUAUGCUCACCCUAGGCAUCUGAUCAAGCUGGUUUUGGAAGCUGCUGGUGUCAAUAAGAGAAACAGCAAUAACUGGAGUGUCUUGAUCAUUGAACAUCCAAAAUACAACACCAGUAGGAACUGCAAUGAUAUCACCCUCUCUGAAGCGGUUAACCUUUUGGUGACUGUCUCUAAACUUGCUUCCCUCUCCUUGUUCAGAUUCACGUGGCUCCUCAAAAGUCUCAACACAACCAGGGAAUACCAUGCCAAAAUAUCCAUUACCUGUAAUUGUUAUAGCAAAAUAUUAGCCACUACUAUAUAACAUCACUAAUAUGUAUGUAAAAAAAAUGUAAUAAGAUCAAAAUAAGGAACCUUGUUGGAUGAAAAUUUCCUGGGGAGCGUUGGUGUAGAAAGGUCUGCGGAGGGAAUUUGGUUGAAGGGUAGCACGAGAGAGGGCCACACCGGCACAUCGGAAUUGCUUGUUGCUUGGGUUCCAAGUCUCAAUAAGUCCACCUUCUGACUUUAUACGGUUAUCAGGUUCAAGGGCAUUGAGGUGUUCAAGCUGACACUCAUUUUGUUCAGGUUGAUCUCUCAAAGCAAAACAGCUACCAAAAAGUAGAAAACAAAAUGAAAGAGAGAGUGCAAGAAGCUUAGCCAUGAUGACAGAUAUUGAAAAGAAUGUUGGUUUGUGAUGCGGAGAACCUUAAUGAGAAGUGGUUAUUUAUAGGGAAAAUAGGUUGGCGAAGGAUGGACACGUCAAAGAAGGUGUGGAGCUGAGCAUUAGACAUUCUUCAGCUUGCAUGGGUAUGGAAGCCUUGUGCAUUACACCUAUGUCUGAUAGAGCAAGGUGGCUUUCAACAUAUCCAUAAUCCAACAAAAAGCAUGCUUGUUUGUAUUGCAAUUCUUGCCUAGGCAUUAUUAUUAGUUUAAAUCGGUGGGGGAGGGGGGACCAUGGCUCCAUUUUGUUUUCUUCCCUGCUUCUCUCUUUCAUAUCUGCAAAGAUUUACGAAGAACAUUAAUCCUUAAAAUAUAUGUGUAAUUACAUAGUGCUUGAUAAACAUUUUACUUUUUACAUUUAAAAUGAGUUUACUCUAAAUAAGUCAAAAUCUAAUGUAAUAAUAACCACUUUUUGAAAUAUCAAUUUCAAUUUUUUAAAAUUUGUUCCAUAUAUUGAUAAACUUUUCAGAUUUUUUCGGGUCGUAAGUUUUUAAUACAUGUGCUUGACUCACUACAAAGAAUUGGUCCGUGACCCAUAUUAACUUAGUUCUUCGAAUAUGAUUUGGGUGAUGCCAUGUUUUCUCUUCUCCCACGUAUAAAAGAUCUACCCAAUUCAACUGCUACACCCCAAUUCUUCUCAUCAAUGAUAAACUUAAAUCAGUGAACUAGUGAGCAAUGGAUUACAAGGGUAGAAAUCAAUGAAUAAAGGACUCUGCAUCAAUAUUCAUUUGGCACAUAUAUAGAAUUCCCAGCCAUUUAACUAGCUUUUAAAAAUGCAAGGCAACUAUGUCACGUCAAACACAAUCAACGUUGAUUUUUAAAUUAUCCUGAGUCAGAUAAUAGGCCUAUUUAUAGAUAUUCAUGGACCUGAAAUUCUUUCUCUGCUACUUAAAUAAAUAAUAAUCAAAGGUAGAAGCAAUGUAUUGAGAAUAAAAAAUGCAUAAAAUGUAAGGGUGUAAUCUGCCUUUCCUUCAAAUGAUUCUACAGAAAUUAUUUCGGUGGCCGUUCAAUCAUUGUAAAAACCAAAGAGGGAAGAGUUGGCGGGAAAAACUGUAAACACUGUACGUUUACCGUUUUUAUCGUGGAUUUGAAUUUUUUUCUAAUUAGAUGAAUACUUUUUUAUCUUAACUAUUUACUUUUUACCAUGAUAAUCUAAAGUUCAUUCGAUACAUAGAGCUUGGCAUCAAAUCAAAUAGUACCCAAACAAUUCAUCAAUCUUAACACAAAUACAUUAACCAUUGGCACAAAUUACGUCCACUUGGUUAAUAGUAGAUGAACAUGACAAAAACAAAAGAUGAGUGACAGAAGGGCAAUUUGCGGAACUCGUCAAUUUUUUAAUAAACAUAGCCCUGUAAAUUUUUUUAUAACGAAAGACAAUACAAGACAAACCAGCUUCUACACACGAUCUGCCAUAAACAAGUUCCCAAAGAAAAGGGAAGAAUCCCAGUCCCUUUGCGUCCAUUAUGAAGCAUAGAUCAUGUUAUUUAGGCUAAUGCUUGUGACGAGGCGUAUCAAACAUUAGCAAAUUGAUGCGCACAGAACAUGGUAGGUUUAACCAAUCAGGGAAUAUAAAAUAAUAGAGUACUCCAUCACUAAACAGGCCUUAUUAAUCUGAAGACGAACAAAGUGAGAGCUUUUACAAGAAAAAAUCACAUUAACAUUAUGAUGAACUACCAUGAUCUCACAAGGAUUAAAUGUCACAAUCCUCGGGAUAUAAUCACCCUUGUAGAAGGAACUAUAGGUUAUAAUUUAUAAAUAAUACAUGCCUACACGAUAUGGACAAUAACAAAUUACAAUGCUAGAAGAAACAAUGAAACAUGCAACCUUCAAUUUUCUUAUUCGGUAGUAUUACUCUUCAAGCUAGAUUCCCCGUUCUUCUCUUCAGUGCUAUCCACUAUUUUGGUUUCAACAUGACCAUCCCCCUUGGUUGCAUUGCCAUCCACUUCAAGAGUGUUUGACUUUUUCGGCAGUUUUCGAUCAAGACUCUGAGCAGCUUCCAACUCUUCAGAUUCAUCACCUUCACAUCUUUCAUUGGGGUUUUGAACAGCUUCGGCAUCAUGCUUGGCAGUGUCAGCAUUUUGUGUUAGUUGUGCCCCUGAACUUUGAGAAGCUUCCAACUCUUCAUACUUAGAAACCAACUGCUGCAGCUCGUCAUUGAGAUAUAAAGCCUCAAAAAGUGUUUCUUCAUCAUUUGUGGUGCUUUCCACAAUCUCCUUAAUAACAGAGAGUGAUUGCUUGCACUUAUCCAGCAGACUCAAAGUUAUAUCUUCCUGGAACCAAACAAAAUCAUUGUACAUUCUAUCAGCAAAAAAAUUAUUCCUAUUUCUUAGCUGUAUACUGAUGUAGCAAUAACCUAGAUGAGCUGGGAAGAUAAGAGAUAAAAAAAAAAUCCAUCUACAUUGUAUCUGCAUAAGAAUACUAUAGUAUUUUGCAUAGAAAAGCAUGUAACUGAUUUAUGAUAGUUCUUUAAAAAUCUGUGCAAGAACUACUUCAUACAUACAGCAAACAUCAUGAUGCAGUAAACAAAACAACAAUCUAUUGUUCAGGUGAUGCUGUAUUUCUUUAAUUUAAAAAAGUUUACCUUCAAAGGUUUUGGCUCUGCCUCAGAACUUAAUAUGCUAGAGAGCAAUUCAAGACUGUUUCGAGCAACCACAAGAUGCUCUUUCUUCUCUUCCACUGAUACAGGUUGGUGAUCAGUAAAGAAAGCUGCUGAGUCAUCCAGAGCAAGAGCAUGUAGCCCUGCUUCUGGAAUUGGGUAUCUUUCAGGGGGGUCUAAAGGGUGUUGAUAAUUAUGUGACUCUGAGGCAUAUGGAAUAGGUGGUGAGUUUCCUCCCGUCAUGUCAAGUGAUUCACCCCUUCCUUUCAAACUCUGUCAUCAAUGAGAAGAAUAUAGGACUUAAAUUAAAUGAGGAAGAAAAGGAAGCACAAGAAUACGUCAUAGUAAAAAUAAAAAAUAGACGGCACCACAUUCGAAAGAGUAGACAAUAAGUAAGAUCGUGAAGCACAAUGUAGGAAUUCGCUUCAAGGCCAACAUUUUGUAAAAAAUAACCCAAGGUCACCUGGGAAAUGCUAUUUUCACAAAGUAUAAUUCUGCAAACAAAGUCUAGAAGCUACACAUAUAACAAUAAAAUCAAGUACGAAAAACAAUAAGGUUACCAUUCAAAGAUAAUUUGAGGCCAAUGAUAUUUGCUUCCCUUAAACUAUUAAUACCCUUCAAUGAAAUUUUGCUUAAACAAAUUUCAAUCAAGUUUUUUGGGACCUGUCAUUUGAAUUAUUUGGGAAAGAAAAUAGAUGGUAUAGAGUUGUAAAGAUAAGUUUUGCAUUUGAAAUAAGAUAAAGUAAAAUGGAGUGAAUAGAAUGCAAAUUCAUCUAGAUAAAUCCUAAGACAAGCUUGGAGGCCAAAAUUGGAAAUCUUACCAAGCCAAAAAUUCAGUGUGGUGGGUACCUUGAGUCCAUCAUAAAAAUAUCGAAGAAAUAGGAUAAAUAUAAAUCGUAAUACUCAACCUAGGCAGAUAAAAUGAAAAUGCUUCAACAGCCUUCGUGUUCGACAUUGCCUUUUAAGAUUAAUUAAUGAAAACUUACCGCACGGUCAUAAAACCAACAAUGAAAACAUGUUAAGUGUUAUGAUAUGAAAAAUAAAACAACAAAUUAGUGGUUAUACAAGACAAGACGGGAUUAGGAAUAAAAGCACUAGAGAGAAAGUUGUGACAGCCACCGUCUACUGUAAAAAAGACAGUUGGUCUUAUUGUGGUUUGGACAUGUGUUGAGCAGACAUUGGAAAAUAUCCCACUAAUUAGAGGUAGAAAGAAACGAAGCAAAACAAUAAGCUACAAUCAAGAAAAAAUGGAACUAUACGAUCAAUAAUUCUAUAUCACAGAGCAUGAUUCAUGACAGGACAAGACUUAAUGACAUCAUUUAAUCCAUGUAACCGAUCCCACCUAAUGGGAAAAGGUUUUGAUUGUAAUUGUUAGUGUUGUUUUUGUCACAAAGCAAACAAUGCCUUCUGGUACUGAUCGUCAAACAGUAAUGCCGCAAUGAAUACAUACAAGAAAAAUUAGUACAAUUGUGUAUAUGAUGAUUUUCCAUAUCAGAAAUUCAGAAUAAGACCGAUAGAAAUGCCAGUAGAGAACUUUAUUAGACCAAGGAUAGUCUAAUAAUCAGAUAUAUAAAGGAAAACAAAAAAAAAUCUAAAUGAAACCAUUGAAAAGUACUUAGAUCUAUAUAGCUACUUUUAAGUAAUAUGUACUAGGUGUGUGGCAAACCACAAUGGAAAUGCAAUUAUUUAAAUAAAUAAGUUUGCCUACAAUAGACCCACAAUGCCUGGGUCCAAUCCUUACCUCUUUAAAUAGAACAUCCUCUCAUUAUAAUUCUAACUGAUAACUAACCUACUAAAGGAAACUCUAUGUUUUCCCCCUUAGUGUGACCACAAUACACAUACUCUGAUACAGCUCUGUUAUUGACCAGCAUACAUAUAAUACAGACACAACCCUAACACCAAUAAUAAUUUCAGAAAAUAGAAUUGAUUGAAUGAAAUUUUAUGCGUCAGUCAGAGUUGUGUCCAUGUGUUAGUGUGUCGGUCUUCAGACAUUGAACACACCUUAUGAACUUUUUUAUUUAUAGGCAAAUGUUAUUAAAUUAGUGGUUAUCUAUGAAGCACAUAUAAUGACACUACACUAAUCAGUCGAGAAAAUAAAUAAUUAAUUGAAUGUAAUCAAUAUGUGAGUGUCAUAUUGUGUUAGACACGAAGACUCGAGUGUGGGUGGUUAUGUUAGUUCCCGAGACCUCUUUUUUAAUUACCUGAAGUGUUGGUGAUACAUAGCUAACGUAUUGUAAGACUGAAUUGACCCAUGUUCCAACAAAAUAGUGAUAGAAAAAAACAAAGCAAGAAGAAGAAAAGAAAGAAACUAACCGUAUAAGUUUGAGCGAAAACAGGAAGAUAAGCAAGAUCUUCAGACUGACCCCAUGCCCUAAUAAGCUGAAAAGCCCUUGUUCUAUUUUGCUGAUCAGCCUGUUGAUUAUCAAACAACCUAACCAUAUCAUCUAAAAGCUUCUCAGAAGCAAUUUCAGAAAAAACCUUUUCACAAUUCAUAGCACAAGUUUCCAACAACUCAAGGCUAUGCUUCUGAACAACAGGGUUCUUGUGAUUAAUCCUCCUCUUUAUACCCUUCACAACUUCCGAACCGUUAAACUCUUCCGCGUUUAUUAGACCGCAUAUUCUCAGAUUCAUUCCCCAAUUUGGUUCUUCCAACGUCUCUGAUGUUGCUUCCUCGACCAUCUUUGAUUCCGGCGUCGGAGUUUGGAGUAUUUCCUUCAUUUUGCCGCUUACGAUUCGACCCAUCUGGGCCCCACCGGUUUUGAGCCUCUCGCCGAAUUGAGCUAGCUUAGACUUGUCCAUGAGAGUGAGAUGGUUGUUGUGGAGUGAGAAAGUGAGGAACCCUAGAUCGGAUUCUGUUCGUUACUGAUGUGGAGUAUGAAAAUGGGAAAGUGGAGAGUUGAAGUUUCAGAGAGAAACAAAUGUUUGAUUUUAUUUAGAUUAUUGAUUUAUGUUCUUUUACGUGGCUUUCUUUGGAGAGCUUUAAAAUCAUUAAUUAAUUGAUCCCCCACUCACUAAAGUCUUCUCAACCACGUCUCCAUCUCUCUCGUAGACUCUAUUAAUAUUUUAAACUAUUUUUCAAUUAAGUCUUUUUGUAAUUUUACAAUGUUCAUUGAUAUUAAUUGGGCUGACGUGGAAAAUUAAAUGUUAUUUAUUAUCAAAUUGAUCUCUAUAGUUAGAACUAAUACUAUCUAUCUCUUUUCUUUAAAGGAACAUGUAAAUAACUUUAAUUAUUUUGAUUGUGUGGAUGGAGUGUUUUCUCUUAAAGCUCAAUUACGUGCACAAUGCAUAUGUUGUGAGUGCAUCGGAAACAACCGGAAAAAAGAAAAGAAAAUGACAUAGAUUUUAUAGGGUUUGUAUUUUUACUUAAAAUGCUAACAUUUUGAAGGGUUUGUACUUGUACUUAAAAUGCUAAGAUUUAUGUCACGGGUUAAAUUUGAGACCAAUUUUUUGUGUUUUAACCUUUUUUUUUCAUGGGAUAAUUAAUCAUUAAUCACAAUUUUUUAAUGAAAACUAAAUUUUUAGCGUGUCCCUAAUGUGGACCCUAAAAAAAUGUCCACCAGUGGACCUGUGGCUUUCAACCGGGUACAGCCGGUAAGUAAUAUUUUUUUCACAUUUUGUUUUUCCAAAUUUUUGGACACUGCUUGUAAACGAUGGAGCCACAACUAUGGCAUAGUUGUUGAUAUAAGACGUGUCGCAUGCCCUUUAUACAUAUAGUCUCUCUUUUUAUCUCGUUGGAAUUUAUCAGAUAAUACUUUCUGGGACAUUUAAGCAGGAAAUGGGAUAAUUAAAAGAGAAGGCUUUGUACCCAAAAAAGACAGCUAUAUUUUUUUAUACUUUAUCAUUGUUCCAACAAAUGUCAUAUGUGUGAUGAGAAAGAGCUUGAGAAGUAGAGUGUCUUGUGUGAUGCUGAUUCCAUCGAGAAAAUCAACAGUAUGUUGUGUGGUGUACGUGAAUGGUUUCGGGACAUGGGGGAAUAAGGAAAAAAGAAAUCAACUAGGUCGAUAACAUAUGUUGCGUAUAACUUCUAUAUGACGAAAAGGUGGUGAAGAGCGAAAUUGUUAUGAGUUUUGUGUGUCGUUCGUCGGGUUCUGUUUAAGUUGUAUGAAAGGGGACGGCUCUAUCAUUUACAUUUUACAUACAAUGUGAACAAAAUUGGAAGAAAAGUUGUUUACCGAUUGUACCCGGUUAAAAGCAAAGGUCCACACUUUAAAGGCACCCAAAUUUUCAAUUUAGUCUUUAAAAUAUCAUUUCUUUUAUUUAUUUUAUAAAUUAUUAUGAAUUCAAAAUAUUUUGUACUUUAUUUCUUUUGAAAUUAUUUAAGCCUUUGAUAUCAGUUCAUUCUAGACAAGAUUUUGCCUUUUAUUAAAUACAAAUAUUUCACCAUCUCUUCACUCUAAAUUUUAUAAAAAAAAUAUGAAGACUCUAAUUCAUAAGAAAUUCUUUUUUUUUUUCCGUCUAAUCAAUAAUUGUAAUGCUACCAUAACUCUUAUCUUAAGACACUUAUUCUCUUCAAUCUUUAAUAUAAAAGCAAAAAUGAAGUAAAAAAAAAUCAAUAUAUUUAAUUUAAAAUUUAAACUAAAGAUAUCCAUUUUAUUUCACCAUAUUUUUACUUAUAUUUAAAAUAAGAUAGAGUAGGUCAAAAACUCCACUAUUUCAUGUCAUAAAUAUCCUUUGGAGGAGGCUAUAAAGAUGCCUUUGAGCAGUCCCACAACUUAUCCAUAGAAAAUGAGCAAUCACCCAAAUGCAUGGACAAACUGGCUACCAAGAACCAUUUUCAUUCUCAAACAAAUCCAUCCCUUUUUUAAUCAAAAAGAAAUUAUAUUAAUUAAAAUAAAAGUUGAGAAUAAUAGCUUCUAUCAUCGUAUAUAAAAAAAAAUAAAUUUAAUAAGGAAAAAUAUAGAUACACUUUGAACUAAAAAAAGACCAUGGUGAUUAAGUUGAGCUAAUAAAUGAGCAUGUCUAUUUGUUUCUUUUAAAGAAUAAUUAAGAGGGAAUAAGUUCAAUUAUAAUAAACAAAUGAAUAAAUUGAACAUAACAUUUGUGGAUCAUAAAAACGAGGGUCAGUAAGCCAAUUUUAAAAAUAAUAUUAUAAAUAGAUUUAUCAUGAACCACAGAAUGUCAUGUAGUGAUGACCAGGACUGACUAUUAUGGUCGCGAAUGAUCCUUCACAAAUCGAGGAGUUAUCAAUAUGAAUAUAAGCACCACUAAUGUUCAUCUUUAUAACUUUCCAUGAGGUUUAACUCAUAUUUUUUAUUAUGGUUAAUCAUGUUCUCUUUAAGUUUUAGAAAGAUAACUAUUCCUCUUAGAAACUUUAUCAAUGUUUAAUUUAUAAAUAAAUAUAUUUUUUAGGUUUUAGAAAGAUAACUAUUCCUCUUAGAAACUCUGUCAAUGUUUAAUUUAUAAAUAAAUAUAUUUUUUAAUUCAUAUAAAAUUAUGGUAUAUCAAGUUUAGUCUUUAAAAAAUAUUAAUUUAUUUUUAGUCUAUAUUUUAAUUUUAUAGAGACUAUUUUAAAGUAUAAAAAAUAUAAAUUCUUUUAAAAAAAAUCAAAAUUGAAAUUAAAAAUAAAUGAAAAUUUUAAAAUUUAGACUUAAAAAUAGUAAAUUUAUAAUUAUUAAAAAUAUAUUUAAUCCUUAAUUUAAGUUAGAUAUGGAGGCAUCCAACUAACCGCAAUUCAAGAGAAUAACUUGGUACAUUGAAAUAAGAACUAUUUAUGGUGUUACUAUAAUUCAAAAUUUAAAUAAAAUAGAAAAUUAUAAUCUAGCAACAAAAUUGAACGUUUACUCGUCAAUCAAUUAAUAUGAUAAUUAUUUGUUUUUUUACAUUUUUUUUCCACACAAAUUUUCAGUCUCAAUAUUUGUUUUUUUUUCUGUGAUUAUUAAAAAUUUAAAAUACUUUUGCAUUUAAAAUAAUCAUAAAGAUUUGUUUAAUAAAUUAUUUAUACAAUUAUAUAAACACAAUUCUAAAGUUAACUGGUAGUAUUAAUUUUGGUCAGAUAUUUUUUACAAAUUUACUCAUAACAAUUCAAUUUUUUCAAAUAUACAUUAAAAAAAAUUAUAAAAAAUAUACAUUUGAACUUAACUCAACAUCCUAAAUUUGCCAUGAAAUUUAAAUUUUUCUGGAAAAACACUCUUUUAAGUUUUAUGAAUUUUUUUAUAAGACUUAAUAAACGUUUGUAAGAAAAAUGUUGUUUAAGAGACUAAAUGAAAAUUCCGUUUUUUCUAAUAUAUAUAUAUAUAAUAACAAAAUGAUGUAACAAAAACGUUGUUAUUAUUAACUUUUAGUGUAGCGACAUAAAAAGGUAGAUAGACGAUAAAUUAAUGUCCGUCAUUUUUUAUAACAAAUAAUUAAAUAUCUUAAUAAAUGUGUAAUUAUUUUUUGUUUAUUCUUUAUCACAGAAAAUGUAGUAUGUUAUCCAUGAUAAUUAUAUAUGAUUACAUAUGAUAUAAUUAUCAUCAGGACUAUGAGUUUGUACCUAAAAUAUUGUUAGUACAUGAACCAAAAUACUGUUUUUUGUUAAAAUAAAAUAAAAAGUAUUUAACUCAAUUUUAUCAAAAUAUUAAAGAGCAAAAAUAUAUUUCAUAAAAAAAAAAGAGAGCAAAAAUAUACAUAGAGGUUUGGUUCAUGUACUAAUUUUUCUUAAUUUGAUUAAAAUUUCUGUUUAGUUGUUGGACCCUCUUCCUCAUGUUUUCCAUGUGUCUUUGUUGGGAAGGAAAAAACACAACCAUGAAUGAAAGGGAAGGCUUUCAGUAGUUACCAUUCGAAUUCAGAAAAUAAUUAAUUUGUUUUUGGAAACUUCCAUUCUCAUGGUUUGGAAUUGAUCUCGAUACGUUUCACCUGCGUUAAUUGCAACAUUCAAGUUUCAAAACCAUGCAUGUAGGUAUGCAUACGCAAUUAUUCGAAGUUUUUAUUUUUGUUCACAAAAUGCGUAUCAUAUUUUCGUGGAUUUCGUAUGUGUCUUUUUUAUUCAUUGGGCGUUUUUUGGUUUUUGUGUGAAUUAUUGUGGGUGCUAUGCAUUUCAGAUCAUUUUGAAAAUUUUGUGCAAUUUAUUAUAUUGUUGGAACUCUUUUUUUGUUGUUAUUUCUUGGCUUCGUCAUACAAUUACGUAGUUUAUUCAUCCUCGUGAUGGAAAAAUAUGGAGACAUUGUUGAAAAAUGUGGUAAUUUGAAGUAUUUAUUAAUUUGUAUGGUUGUGGAAAACGAAAAGUUAUAUGUAAAAAUUGAAAGUUGAAUUAGGAUAAUUUGAGUUGAAAUUUGACAUUGUUCUGUUCGUAAUUCUCAUGAUUGUUUUACAAGAAACUUUGAAAACCAUCGUUUUAGUUGGUAACAUGCUAAUUUAUUUUGUUAUUUCCUUUAGCACAACAUUCAAAUGCUUAUGUAUAACAAUCUAUAGUUAUUUUUUUUACCGAGUAUUACAAUCUAUAGUUUUUUAUACAUGUUUUUGCUUGAACAAUUGAACACAGCCAUGGUGCUAAUGUACCAUAUUUCUCAAUAAUCAAGUUUGCUUUAACCACUAAUUGUUAUUUUUGACACAAACACCUCUGAGAUUAGGCUUGUCGUCAUGUCUGACACAUAUCGGUGUCCAACAUUCGUAUGACACUUUUACGACACCUCAAAUAAGUGUCCCAAAAUAAAAUUUGUUUUUCUUUGCUUCAACACACCUUAAACUUCUUGGACACAUCUAUGAAGGUGAAAAAGGUUAAAGAUGUGUCAAAGUAAUGAUAAUUAAUGAUAGGGUUAAAAACAUGAAAUUUAACUACAACAUGUUUAGUUUUUCGAUAGUAGAUGUAUCAAUGAAGGUGAAAAAUUAUCAUAUGUGUAUUAGUUUAGAUGUCCUAUGAUCUUUAUAUUAGCAAAGUCUGUGUCCGUGUCGUGUCAAAUGUUCGUGUCGGAAUUUGUGCUUCAUAGCAAAGAUCCUCUUUCCCCUACAAGGCUACAACUAUAUUCUAUUUAAAAAUAAAACUUGUAUGUAGUUAAGACAUACCAAUUCGAAUCCUUGAACAUGUCAAGCCAUGCAUAUCAACUCCUUACAAUGGUUAUCUACACUUGCCAAAGGGGUUCAUUAAAUUUACACAACUCUACUUUGUUUGGUAAGUUUAGGGAAUCAAGUUCCUUAGUUUGGCUAAGCUGUCACAUGUUAUGUGCAUUUUAUCCAAAAAUAAACACGAGACUAUCUUAUACAUCAGCUUAAUUAUAUAGUAAACAUUACAAAAUAAUUUUUUUUUAAUUUCUAUGUUGCUUUUAUAAUAUUAGUUUGUUGUAUGAUCUUACCAGAACAGAUCAAAUGGAUAUAACUUCAGCAAAAUGUGUGGUCAACACCAUUUCUCGAUUCAUUCAUCUAGUUUCUUGCCAAACAGUGAAACUUAUACCCCUUCAGAAGAACUAUAAUAAUAUGGUUGGUGUCUUAAAGUGUUUGAAACCAGUGCUUGAUGAUGUUGUGGAUUACAAAAUCCCUUUAGACAAAAAUUUGUACAGAGAAUGUGAAGAAUUGAAUAUGCAGGUUAAUGAAGCUAUGGAGUUCAUUGAAAAACGGAGCCCAAAGAUGAGUAGGAUCCACAAUGUAAGCAGUUAGUUAUUUCAUAAUUAAACCAAUAUCAUUAUUUUGCAACUAUUGUUUCAAAAAUGUUAGGACCAAUCGCCUCUUUGUCAGACAUUUGAACAAUGUUGAAAGGAGACAAUGAAUCACCGUUGCCUUUCUCAUAUGUCUGUUUUAUUUCGGAGAUAUUGAUUGCAGCCUAUUUAAUUGUUUUUGUUGGGAUUGUGUUAUUUUUAGGUUCUUCUAAGUGGAAAAAUGUUAAUAAAGUUACAAAGCACUUCACUUAUAAUUUGUCACAUAAUUAAUAGAUCUUCAAUGUCAACUUCCUCUUCCUCAGUUUUGGCUAAUCUUCAGGUAUGUCCAAAGUUUGAAACUACUUGUUUCUUGAUCAUUGUAGUUGUGAAACUAAUUAGUGGCAACUUUUUCAGCACCAUAUGCAAGAACUUCAGAGUUUUAAGAAGGAUUCAACAACACUCUAUAUAGAAGAAGCACUGAGAAAUCAAAAGGAUAAUAUUAAACCUUGCUAUGAACAUUUAAGGGAAAUUAUAGAGUUACUUAAAUUGACAUCAAGUCACGAGCUUCUAAAAGAAAGUAUUGAUGUUGAAAAGGAAAGGUUGAAUGUGAAUGCACAAGUCAACAAAACAAAAGAGGAGUUGGAUGAAGUUAACCAAAUUAUGAAUAUUGUGUGCAUUUUGCGCGAUUAUGCGACGAAAUCUAAAUGCCCUGAAGUCAAAAGUGGUGUCUCAAUACCAUCAUACUUUCUAUGCCCUUUAUCACUGGAAAUCAUGUUGGAUCCUGUUAUUGUGGCUUCAGGUCAAACAUAUGAGAGGGGGUCCAUUCAAAUGUGGCUUGAUAAUGAGCUGCUUAUUUGUCCCAAAACUCACCAGAAACUUACUCAUACAGAUCUAAUUCCCAAUUCUACUGUUAAAGCUAUGAUAACAAAUUGGUGUGAAGAAAAUAACUUCAAACUUCCCAGUAACUCAAAUCCUGGUAAUUCGACAAAAAUUUCAAACCCUUCCGAUAAUUUAUUGCAUCAAGAUUUAGACCGUGUCAAUAGCUUGGAAUAUUCUAGUAGCAAUUCCAAUUCAAAACCAUCCAUUCAAACUAUAAAUGCAUUUGAGAAUCAAAAGGGUGAAGACUCGUCCAGAUUAAGCGGCGAAUCAAACAGAUGCCAGAAUGGUGAGACAGAAAAGUUUAAGCAACAAUACCUUGGUCCUUCACAUAGUCACAGCAGAAGUACUGAAUCAUUUUCACGUUCUAUUUCUACUAAUGUUUUUCCUGCCUCUCCUGCAUAUAAAGAAUUAGUGAAUUUUCCAUCGUUAUCACGAGAUAAGUUUCAAACCUCUGGAUCAAAAAAUACAUCGACGGAGAAUGAAAUUAAGUGCAAUAACAAUAAUAAUAAUAUUGUUAUCACUAGCCAUUCAAAUGUCGAUGCUGAUCCUGUUUCUGAUAAAUUAACCACCACAUCUCAUGUCAAUAAGUUAAUUAAAGAUCUACAAAGUCAAUCAAAUGAAACACAAGCUAUCGCCGCAGAAGAAUUGCGCCUCCUUACCAAACAUAACAUGGACAACCGUAUCAUUGUAGCACAGUGUGGAGCUAUCAUGCAUUUACUUCCACUGCUAUAUUCAGAUAUGAAGAUAACACAAGAGCAUGCUGUGACAGCUUUACUGAAUCUAUCGAUUAACGAAGAUAACAGGACUUUGAUUAUGGAAGCAGAGGCUAUAGAAGGACUUAUCAAUGUUUUGAAGACAGGAAAUAAUGGCGCCAAAGAAAAUUCAGCGGCGGCUUUAUUCAGUCUGUCAGUACCAGAAAACAAUAAGGCGAAAAUCGGUUGUACGGGUGCAAUAAAAGCUUUGGUGGAACUUCUAGCUUCUGGAACUCUAAGAGGGAAGAAAGAUGCUGCAACUGCUUUAUUUAACCUUUCAAUAUGUCACGAGAAUAAAGCACGUAUAGUUGAAGCUGGAGCAGUGAAGUUUUUGGUUAUGUUAUUGGACCCUGCUGAUGGAAUGGUUGACAAGGCUGUUGCUCUUUUGGCAAACCUGUCAACAAUUCCAGAGGGUCGACUGGAAAUUGUACGUGAAAGAGGAGUCCCUUUACUUGUUGAACUUGUGGAAUCAGGUUCUCAGAGGGGAAAGGAAAAUGCUUCAUCCAUUCUCUUGCAACUAAGCCUUCAUAGCCGUAAAUUUUGUACUCUUAUUCUCCGUGAAGGAGCUGUUCCUCCUGUAGUUGCAUUAUCCCAAUUUGGUACACUCAGAGCAAAGGAAAAGGUAUCAAACUCAUUCUCUUUUUCUCUUAAACCAUGCACAAGCCUGCUUACUUUGUCUAUAAAAAAGACAAUGCUGCUUAUUUUAAGAGACUUUAUAUUUUUUUAUUGGUAGUAUGUAAUAAACAUUCAAUUGCUUCCUUAAUAGUCACUCAUAUUUUUUUUAUCUUCAAUGAGGUGACUAAUAGACUUCGGUAAAGCAAUUGAAUUUUUUAUGAUUAAAUUUUUGUCGGUUUGCAUAUACUGUCAUUUUGUUACAUUUGGAUCACUUGUUAUUCAUCUAUAGAUAAUACUCUCUUUAAAAUUAAAUAUAACCAAAAAUGAUAUUUGAAAAAAUGAUGUACGUGUUAAAAAUUUAAUCAAAUAUUCUUUUUGGUUAUAUUUUAUUUUAGAGUAACAUAUAGUUGUAUUUUAAUGAUGGACUAAUGGUAACUAACACUCAACUAUUUUAAUGAUGGACUAAUGGUAACUAACACAUUCAGUUUGUUGAAACUAGUUAAUCAAAUUUUACUUUCUAUGAUUAUGCAUUGCUAGUUUAACAAAAUCAUAAUAAACGCUUAAAGAAAUAUUUAUUUUCACAAUGGAGUUUUUCAAUAACACAAAAACUUAUGAGAUGGGGCAGAAACAUUGGUUGUCACGACAUAUAGUAUCUCAUGUACAAAGCAUAAUGUAAAAUGUGGAAGAAAUGCUAAUAUGUUGUUCACAUAUAUGCAGGCACAACAACUUCUUGUUCUUUUUCGUAAUCAGCGUGAUGGAGCACCAGGGAAGGGAAAAUCAUGAAGAUAAACAAUUUUGGUUACUUUGUUGCCUUUUUUCUUUUUCUUACUCCUAUUGAAGGUUGUAGGAGUUCAUUACAAUUUUUCUUUUUUCCUUCUCUUCUUGAAAACAAUUUAAAAAAAAACUGAUUUAUAAAAUAACCAUAUUAUCAGGUUUGAUACUAUGUCUCGAGUGGCAGUUGUGUUUGAGUUUUUUUAUUAUUUAAUAUACACGAAGAAAAAAACCAUUGGUGUUUAGGCGUCUUUAUUUGCAGUUCAAGUGAGUGGUGAAGGGAAAAGAGAAUUGAUUGUAUUCAAGUAAUUAAUUAGACAACAGUUUAGUAGUAGUUGUCGAGAGAGAACCCUGUUGAGGCAUGGAACACGAAUCAACUAGCUGUCUCUGAUCUGUAUAUCUGAUUUUAUUUAUGGAUUCAGAAAUAACAGGGCUAAGUCUUAGUUGUAGUUAAGUUCCUGACUCUUUAGUACCAUCACGUAAUUAACAUUGGGCCCACUCAAGCCCAUUAAUACUUUUUUUUGUCGUAAAACUAUAAAAGCCCCGUAUUAAUAGACACAAUACAAACAAACAGCCUCUUUACAUUUUAGUUCUUUUUAAUCAAUACUAAUUAAUAACGCUGCUCUUUUUAGAAAAGUAAUGUCUUGCCUCUUUCUUUCUAUAAAUCAUUUAUAACAAAUAAUGAUGCUCUUUCAGAAAAGUAAUGUUUUGAUCAAAAUAAAUUAUGGAAUCAUAUAAUAAUAAAUAUAGCAUCAAAUCUUCACCCACCAUCUUAAUGUAAUAAAAAUAUAAAUUUUCUAACUAUAUAUCAUUCAAUAUUUACUUUUUUUUUUUUUAAAUCAAUGGGGAACUUCUAAAUUAACAUUAAAUUCCUUACCCUUCCGAUACAUGUUUCACAGGCUGUAUAAAUUAACAUUAAAUUCCUUACCCUCCUUCCAUGUGCAUCACACGAGACCCCCAUAAUUUGAUCCUCUAUUCCUGCAUAGGCUGACAAAACGUUGCGCCCAAAUUUCCAAUGGAACAUAGGUUAAGGAUAUAUAGUGGGUAGUUAAUAUGAUAUUCACCUUAAUUAAUAUUAUUUUUCAAUUAACUUAAGCUAGUUAACUAGUUCAAGUUCAGCUCAUAUGAAGAAUUAAUUAGAAGGAGAACAAGCUAAAUAUGACUCACACGGUGAAUCAAUGUAAAUCUCUGAAAUAAUUUUUGAACAUAAAUUCUAACAUUAUACACUUUAUAAAUCUACUGUUGAUGAUGAGAAAAAUACACUAGCUUAUUAUGUAUUUUACACGGUGUCGAAUAUAAGAUAUCAAUUUUUUGUGUCUAAAUAACACAUGAUAUAUGUAUUGACUUGUGUGUUUGAGACCCUGCUUUUGCAAGCAUUAACCCUUAGAACUAUAUUGGCUGCAAUCAACAGCUUUUAACUACCAUGUAAUCUGAUGUGUAUAGAGUGUCAAAUCAAAAUCAAAUAAUCUAAAUUUUAAAUUUUAUGUUCAAAUUUUAUAUUUAAAAACAAUUAAAAUCGGACUUCAAAUCUGAACCCUCUUAUUUUGACAGAAAAAUCUAAAUAUACUAAAUAUAGUGCAUCAACUACUCCAAAUCGAUUAACAGAACAGUGAGAUUGACAAUCGAGUAACACAUUAAGAUGUCGCUGUUAAGUUUGUUAAUAUUAAUAUACUAUAGUACAACAUAUAUGUAUAUUUUACAAACUACGAACAGCUGCUUCAUGAAAGGAACAUCAUAAAUCCAGCUUAGAAAAUAAACUACUUCAUUCCUGCGGGGUUUAUAUAUAUAUUAAAUUAAUUGAAUCUAGCGUAGGUUUAGGAAUGGAUGUGAAAUAUAUCACUAAUUUGACCAUAGAUUCUCAUAGGGUAUAGGCUAAAAUCUCAAAGAUCGAGUAACAAAACAAUACGCAUAUAUUAUACAGGGAAUUAAUUAUCUAUUUAAUGAUGUGAAAGGUACUAAUUCAUAAAUUGUCGAGUAUGCUUGAAAGUUACAUUAACUUUGAAAUUCAAUUCAAUAAAAUUAUUUUAAGAUACACUCAAUUCCUAAAUUAACUAGCUAGUAUGAUCCACCCACUUAAAUAAUUAUAAUCUAUGAUCGUGAAACGUGCGGUGUAUCCUUGAAAUAGGGUUUUACUACUACUUGUUAAUAUACAUACUUUUAUAAUAUAUAUGCAUUUUAAGGGAAUAUAGGUAUAAAAUAAAGUACUGUAUAUGAUAGGAACAAGAGAGAUGGAAAUUAAACGACUAUUGAUUGGAAGAGUUUAUUAUAAAUUAUAUGAAAUUGUGAAAGACAAGAAAACAGUGUAAGAUUAUAGUACAAGAUUUUGUCAAGGACAGCCCAACAAGAACUAAAAAAAAUAACGGAGUAUAGAGUUGUUUAUUUAAUUAAUGCCUCCUCUGCAUGCAUGUCCUUUGCAAAAACAGAGAGAUUUUUUGGUCAACUAAACUAAUCUGAAAACGAAUUAAUAUUAAGUACAAAUAAAAUAAAAUAAAAUUACGUGCAAAUAAGAGGGAAAGUGUAGAAGAAAGUUACUCCUAUAUGAAAGCAGGCCUGGACCUUUACUCUGUCUCUCAUUAACGUCAACUAACCAUGAAGUUAAUUACUCAAUGCACAUGAAUAGAUUUAUUUUAUUUUUAAUGAACAUGAAUAAUUUUACUAAAUUUUUUAAUUUGUAUUAUCUCGAUUCAAAUUUCACUCAAUCUCUCUCAAUUCUCUUUAUUUUUUUCAAUUUUUUGAUUAAAAAAAUCGUUAGAUUAAAGUUUUAUAUUAUAAAUAUUAUGUAUAUAAAACUUAACACAAAUCUAAAAUGUUAUAGAGAUUUAUAAAGACAAACAAUUUUCAAUACAAAUGCAUAAAAUAUUUAUUUUGAUAUAUUUCAAUAAUAUAUUAAAUAAUUUUAUAUUUGUAUAAAAAUUUAUUUACACGAUGUAUAUACUAUAAACUUUUAAUUUAAAUUAAAAAAAAUAAUAAAAAUAAAAUUAAAAUAAAUAAAAGAAUUGAACGAGAUGGUUAAACUCUAAAUUUUCUUAUUUUUGAAUUUAUUUUAUAUAUAUAAAAAUGUUAGUUAAAUUAAUUAUUUUUUCAUUCGUUGGCAUUCCAACUCUGAUUAUUUUAUUCCUUCAAGAUUUUAAAUCAAAUCAAUUGAACUAUUUAAUCUAUUAUAUUUUCAGACUUAAUCAAAGCACCGAUAGUCUACAAAUUAAUCACCUAUUUUAUGUUGAAGUUUAUGUAUUAAAAGAAAAGAACUGUGAUACAAAAAAAUAGAAAAGAACUAAAAAAGAAUGAGAACCGUAAAGAUCAAACUUUGAACUAUUUAACGGAUCAUGAUUUGCUAUAAUUUGGGAUCACGCAUUUUCGUGUUGUAUUUCAUCUGAGCCGUGUAUUUUAGAUCAAACGUUUCAUAACACACUGUUAAUUUAAUUGCACGAUAUAAUCUCAAUCGUUGAUCUAAAUCAUAUAAUUGAGCACUAUAACUACGUAACCCAGUCCCAACAUAGAAUCAAAUUCUGACUGAAAAAUACAAACUUUGAUGGGAUGCUAUGUUUUUUGUUGUUGAUGGACACAGACAUAGACAAUGUCAAGUAUCGUCAAGAAGGUUUAGUCCUAUGGUUUCGAAUACGACAUCGAUGAGUAUUAAGAAAUAAUAGUUUUUUUAAAAUAAAAAAAUGAAGGGAUAUUAAGAAAGUUAAGAGGUUCAAUAUCUUUUAGGAAGACCAAUAAGCACGAAAACUCACGAAUGGUUUAAUAGUGUAGGAUAAAUCUUUUUUGUUUUUAUUAUUUAUUUUUAAUUCUCCCAUGUAUUAUUUGCAUCCGCUUGAUUUUCAUCGUCCAUGUUUCGUGCGCUGGAGUGUCGUGCUAUACAGUAGUUCCACUCUUAUGCAAACUUGAAAAGCCAAUAAAACUAAUUUUAUUAAAACCAAAAAGCUAACCAGACAAUUAAAGAAUUAUCAAAUUAGAAAAACAAAAUCAUUAUUCAUAGAAGUUCCUGCAAUGACAAUAACUAAGUAAUUGAAUGAAAUGUAAAAAUUAAAUUUUAAUUAAAAGCAAAUCAAAUUUAAAAUAUUUAAUUUUUAAUAUAUUUACGUAAAAUGGAAUUGAAUAUUAAAUUAAAAUACAUUUUAAAAAUUAAAAGGUACAAACUAUAACUUUAACUUAUAAUUAAUUUUAAAGGUAAAAUAAAUUUUACUUUAAUAAUAAUAUAUUUAAAUAUAAUUUUUUUUCUUAAAAAAAAAAAGACCGUACAGAGUCGCAAAAGUGACGGAAAUAGAUGAGAUAGUAACGAAAAUUGCAAAACCCCUUGAGCAUGAGCACCCAGAUGCAGAACCCUGCAGGCUGCUGCAAUGCAACAUGUUUCACUAUCUAGUUAUCGUUCGUUGCUCUCGUGCCUGCACAAUUUUGCAGCAGUUACCUAACAAUAAUCCAACGUAAUUAAAAACGAAUUAUUGCACCCAAGAGGCCAGACUACGCAAGUCUCAAAAUUAAAUCAACCACAAUAAUUAAGUUAUAUUUCAAGUAUCAAAUACCGAUAUUGUUAAGUUUAACCGACUUCAAAUAAGAGAAUACCAAUAUUAUUAGGUUUAAUGCGAAUUUAAAUAAAAAAUCUAUGAAUUAAUUGUAGUGGAUUUUUUUAUCUUUUUUAAAUUAAAAAAAAAAAUCAAACUCAAUUUAAUAUGCUUAUGUUUACUCUCUCUCAAAAUAAUUGACAAUUUUAAUUUAAAAUGUAAUUUUUUUAUUAUAUAUUUUAAUUUAAUAUUACUUAUAUUAUUUUCAAUGUUACAUUUAUUCUGUUUUAAUUAUAUAUAUUUUUAAUAUAAGAUGAUUAAAUAUUUUAAUUAUUUUAUUACAUAAUUUGUUUUGAAUAUUAGCCAGCAUUAUGUGGAAUAACUAACCUGAACGAGACCAAAACUAGUUCAUCAAAUUAAGCUGUAAAUAAUAAGAAAUUAGUUUCUUUUCAAUAUUAAUGGGAACACAUAAAAUUCGCUUUAUAUCAUUAACUACAACAAAAAUCUCUCUAAUUUUCUCGUCACUAAAUUGACUUUAUAUUUUAAUUUAUGUCUCUAGAUUUUCCUUGCUAAUUUAAUCUUUUUGAAUAGUAAUUUCACAGUUACGUAUUGAUAUCAACAUUAAUUAAAAUUCUGUCUGACAAAAACAUAAUAUCAACACCAAUAGUUUUUUGAAAUAGCUGAUUCACUCUAACUCUAUUAAAUCACCAAACCACGUAAUAACUUUCGGCCAACCCAUGUACCGACAUUAACUAAUUAAUGUAGAUAUUAUCAUAGUAAUAUUAACAUUCACUAGCAGAUAGAAAAAAUUAAAAGAUGAAUUUCAUGUUUUAAUUUUUCUCUAGAUUUUCACGCUAAUUUAAUAUUUUUUCAGUAGUAAUUUCCCAUUUACUACAUUAACAUCCUGUAAAAAUAAGUAUGUCGACAAAAUCUCAAUAUCUACGUUAAUCUAUAAAUGUUUUGAGGGAAUUUACUAAUUUAUUAACAAUAGAGUAAAAAAUUUAUUAUAAAAAUAUUUGACAUUUUAUACGAAGGAACAUUAAUAUCUUAAGCUAUCUUUUAUAAAAAUUAGCGGUAAAGUUUAAUUUUUCUGUUAAAAUAAGUUUUUAUUUAUUUAUUUUGAACUGUGUGUUAUAAAAUCAUAUUAACAUAUAAAAUGUUAUGUUUUGAUUAAUAUAAAUCACAUUUAUUUCUCUCUUUUUACCACUUGUAUAUAUCAAAUUUGAAACAUUACAAAUCUCAUGAAACGGUCUCUAAUUUCUAUUUUCAUGAAAUACUUUAUCCGUUCACAUUAAGUUAUAUGUUAUAUUGAAACACAUUUAAUAUUUUAUAUCAACUUAAAUCAAAUCAUAAUUAGAUGAAUUUGUUCUUAAUAAUCAAAUCCAAUGAAUUUUUACUCUGCUGUUAGUUUUUAUCUUUUAAAUUUAUGAAUCCCCAUAUAAUUUUUCCACACAGACAGUAAACAUGCGUAGGGGACGGGUCCACGGUGAGGAUAACGUAGACUCGUGCCUCUACUUGCAUUUUGAUUUCCUCCAUAUUAUAGUAGUAUAUUUAUUCUCUAGCAAUAUAAUUUAUAAAUAUAAUAUGGUAGUAUAUAUAUGCAUGCAGUUAAAAACAUUUAUUUCAUUGUUUUUGUUUCAUCUCACUUUUCUUAAUUUUUGUAAUAAGAAAACUUACAAAUAUAGUAAAAAAAUGUUAUGUGAUGUUUUAAUGUUAUAAAUAUAUUAAAAAUAUAUUUAACCUUUAAAUAUAAAUAACUUUUUAUAUACACAGGUCAUUUAAUACUGAUAGCAUGUUUGAUAUCGAGGAAUUCAUUUGAUAUUUUUUUUGUUGAAUUUUGAUUAUCAUUAUUUAUUAUUACUUAAAAGGAUGGUGAGAAGUGGACAAAGGUAGUGUCAGAAAUGAAAGUAUUUACAUUUUGAAAGAGAAAAGGAAAGGUUAAAAAGGGUAAAUUGGUAGGGGCAUUAGAGUCAAUUGAAAAGGAAGUGUCAUUCAAAACUACAGGAGUCAAGAAAAGAAAAGAGAAUCAUGUUAUUCCCUCAUUUUUACCCCCUCCAAACUUUUUCCUGUCUCCAUCCAAACCUACUGUCCAACUUUUCUUUCCUAUUUCCUCCAAACCCUCUCUCUCUCUCUCUCUCUCUCUCUCUCUCUCUCUCUCUCUCUCUCUCUCUCUCUCUCUCUACAUCAAGAAUGAAAUAUAUUAAUAUAACCAUUAACAAGCUAUGAUAUCAUGAACCAAGUUUGAGUUUGUUUCACCCUUUUAAGGAAAAAAUAUCAGAAAUCAAAGCUUCUAAAAAAUACACUGCUAUAUCUUUGAGAAGAGCUUUCUAACUAUAUAUACUUCAAUUAACACUUCACAAUACUCAUCCAAUCAAUCUCAUCACACAUUGAAAAGAAAAAAAAAAGAAUUCCUUCUUUCUGCUUCAUCAUUUUCAGGUAUAUAUCUCCUAUUUCUAUCUCCUAAAAUAAACACAACAAAUUCUGUAACCUACCAAUUAACAAUCAGAAUUUGUUUCCUUUCUUUCUUCAAAAGUUGUUCUUGAUUUCAUUUUAAAGAAACUUGUAAAAGGAUUAUAAAAAAUCAAACAAGAAAUCAUUGAAAUUAUAAGUAUAGUAACUCUCAUCUCACUCUGAUCACAGGAACCCUAGAAAAACAAGGUACUCCUGUCAAAGCAACUUUGGAUCUACAAAGCAAAGAGUUGAAGGAAAUUAAUUAAAGUUGAAGUAUAUAUAUAUAUAUGGAUUCAAUUCAAGAAUUUAUAAACACAUGUAACAUUGAAAACAGCUGCAACUUCAUGAAUAACAACAACAGUAUAAGCAGUACAACAAGCUUAACAACAACAGCAAGUGGAAGUUCUUCAUCAUCAGCUGUUUCAACCAUCACCACCAACACACCAAACAGUAGCAGCCGCUAUGAGAAUCAGAAACGCCGUGAUUGGAACACUUUCGGUCAGUAUCUUAAGAAUCAUCGACCUCCUCUUUCGCUCUCGCGGUGCAGCGGUGCACAUGUUCUUGAAUUUCUCAGGUAAAUAUGUAAAUAUAAUCAACAUGCACCCUCUCUUUCUUUUUAUUUCUAUCUCUAACACUACAUAUCAAGGUUUUAAAUAGCACUUCCAAUUGCAUCGCAAUUCUUAAUAUUAGUUUGUGACAUAUAAAACACAAUUCUUUAUGUUUUGAAAUGGAUCUUCUAUAGCAAAUGGAAGAGAGAGUAAGAGAGAAGAAGAAUUGAUGAGAGAUGGAAAGUGGAGAAGAUCCAAAUCGCUAUUGAAAUUGUAGUCACAUAUUUUUGAAAGUGUUGAUUAUGUAUAAAUAUAUCUCAGAAUAAUAGUUGAAUGUGUGUAGGUACCUGGAUCAAUUUGGGAAGACAAAAGUUCACACACCAAUAUGUCCGUUUUAUGGACAUCCAAACCCUCCAGGGCCAUGUCCAUGUCCUCUAAGACAAGCAUGGGGAAGCCUUGAUGCACUAAUAGGUCGUCUUCGUGCAGCCUUUGAAGAAAAUGGAGGAAAACCAGAAGCUAAUCCUUUCGGUGCUCGAGCAGUGAGGCUCUACCUUCGUGAGGUUCGUGAUCUUCAAUCCAAAGCAAGAGGAAUCAGUUACGAAAAGAAGAAAAGAAAGCGUCCACCAUUGCCAACACCACCUCCUACUGCUGCAAACUCAUUAGAUAUCAUCAAUUGACACUCUUCUCUUAAUCAAUGCUCUUUUUAUUAUCAUAUUUAGGGUUUUUAUUUUUAUUUUUAUAAUAAUAUUAUGUGAAAGCUGCUGUGAAAUCUGAUGAUAGAUAUAAGACUGUUUGUUUGUCUUUGGAUUCUGUUUGGUUGCAGAUGAAAAAGUGUUCAAAUUCUGAUAAAUCAUUUAUCUGCUUUUAAAGAUUUAGCAGAGACUGUUAUGUUGCUUGUACUCAUAGUAGACUCGCAGUGGACUGGAAAAGUUGAAGCUAGUCAUCAUAGUGAUUCUCAACAAGGAACCACUUACUUACAAUCACAGUCACAACCAUGGCAUUAUUAUUAUUUAUUAUAUAUGUUUAUAUGUUUUUGUACAAUUAUUCAAUAUGUCAAACUUAGACUUGCAGCACAUUAUAUGUCUUUAAUCACAUAUGCAUACUUUCUGUUGGAACAUAUAUAUAUUAUAUGUUAUAAUAAAAUUUCUAUUUUUGAAGGCUUGAAUUUUACUACAAUUGUUACUAAUUUGAUGUGUCACAAAUAGAAUUUAAGUUUCUAACUUUCAAGAUACAUUUGUGGCAAGUUUUCACUUCCAUUUAGAGAUGCAUAUAAUACAUAGUAAUGUGGAUAACACUAUUUGAGUCUAAUGUAUAUAUUGAUGUGAUAAUUAUUUGUUCAUAUCUAUCUAUACAAAAAAAGAUCUUUUUCUUAUCAUAGCUUACUUUUAUAAAUUCCUUUCAUCUGAUUAGAUACUUGAAUUGGAGUAUUGUUUUAGUAUGAAAGAGAAUACUAUAUAGAAAGUUUAAUGAUUCAUAAUAAUAAUGGUUAAUCGUUAAACAAAUAAAUUACUUUCUUUUGAUAAUAUUCUAUUUCAUUCUUGUGUGCAAUGCAGUAGUGCUAUCAUUUCAACUUAUACCAAACAAAAGAAAAUUAAUUAAUGGCAGACAAUGUAAUUAAUUUGUAUAUCACUGAACCUUCAAUUAUUUGUUUCAUAUACUUUAUGCUAGCUAAAAUAUGGUUUUCAUCUCAAUAAAAAUAAAAAUAAAAAUUAAUUUUCUUUAAUAUUCUUAGAAUGGUUUAUGUUAAUCUAUUCUAUUCAUCUCCAUUUAUUUGGUUUGAAAUACUGGUCAUGCAGGAUUAUUGUUAUUUUUUUAAAAUAGAAAAAAAAUAUGUUAAAACUGAAAUAUAAGAAUAUAUUCCAACUCAAAUAAACCUUAAAAAAAGGAACCAAGAUCAAACAUAAUACAGGUCAUUCUCAUUCAAAUAUUUCUAAAUCCAAUUCGUUGAAUAAUGUCAUUAAGACAAUCGUUUUAUACCUCAAAAUAAAGUAAAUUUUUUACUUAAUUAAUAGUCGAUCCUCCCGUGAUCAUGCCAUCAUCAUAAGUUCAUAACCCUACAUAUUCUACUAUUUUAAAACUAAAGUUUAAAAAAACUAUCUAAAAUAAAUAAUUUCCAACAAAGAUUAAAUAGAUUGACUUUAUUAUUGAUUGAAAAGAAAUAUCAAAAGAAAUCAAUUUCAAUAAUUUAAGAAAGAAUUUUUCAAUCUAAAACCUAUAUUAAAAAUAAAUUUUCAUAUGAAGGGUAAUUGGCAUAUUUAAAGAUAUUAUAAAUAGAGUUUAAACAUAUGUCAUAUAAAAUUAGAUUAUCUAAAAUAUAAUUUUAAAAUAUAUCAAAAUGUAAUUUAAUUUAUUAGUCUAUUAACUAGUUAAUUUAUCUAAAGAUAAGUUAUUUGAAUAAAUUAUUAUAAAAUAGACUUUUAAGUUAACAUACAACUUCUCAAGAGUACUUAGAUGAGAUGACACUUGUCUCUUCUAACUUAAUCAAAGUCGUAAGUUCGAACCUAGACUUGAGCAUGGAACAACAUUAAAAAAUUUAGUGAGAAUUUAUCGUCCAUUUAAAUUCUACCAAACUCUCAAGAUAAAUUUAUUAAGUUGUACAUGAAGGAUACUCUGGCUUACACUAAAAUAAUGUAUAACUUUAAAAAAUAUCAAACUCGAGUCUUAAAAUAAGUCUAUAACAAAUAAUAAGUCAUAUUUUAGCUUUAACUUUUUAUAUAAGUUUCUUGUAAAGUUUCUUUCAAGUAACAUUAUUUUUAUUUUUUUAUAAACAAAUAUUAGUAAUAAGUUAAUUUAACAUUUUUUACAAUUUGAAUUUAUCCGACAAGUUAGCUGUCCUAAAAUAUUGUGUUAUCUAUCCUUUUUGUAACGUGAUCUAAUUUUUUCUUUUAUGGCUCAAAAAGAAUAAUUUUCCUUAAUCCCUCUGGGUGGAUGAAGAGACGCCUAUUAAGCUUUUUAUUUUUUGUCACAAGCAAAACCCAAUAGGACAUAUGAUAUAUGCUGUAGAUCAAGAUUAGCUAAGCUUACGACACCUAAAAGUUAUUCUAGUGGGACAUACAAGUCUACCACUUGUGAAGACAUAAAGGAUCUAUUCUUUCAUGUAAUUAUUCAUAUAUAUGGUGUUUGUUUGUUUUAAGAUGUAAUCAUAAUUUCAACAGCAACAAAAAAAUAUAAGGAAUAUUAUGUCCAUGAUUGUCGUUUUCAAGUGAUGUGUGUGCUCUUGUGUCUACAAUUAAUGUGCUUGGUAUAAUAGUCUAUAUAUUAAUGUGAGUGUAGGUUAAUAAAUAAAUUGUUUUACUUAAGAAUAAUGAUAUGUGCUUGCCAUUGAUCGUCUAACAAUCCAUGAUUUAGCUCUAUGAUUGAAAAAUACCUCAGAACCAAUGGAAUUAAUAUCGUUAAUUAAUAACAAAUGAGUAAAAUGUUGAAUGUAUAGAAAAAAUAACUCAUAGACACAUUGUCAAUUAUGUUUAGAUGUAAUGUCAAAAUUUCUUUAGGGAACAUUAAUUGUUUCACUGUGUAAUAAGUCGAUUUAUUUUAAUAUUUUUAGUUAAAAUGUAUAUAUAUUAAAAUGUUCCAUGGAAAGCCAGCUGAAGAAGUGUGUUUUGGAGAGGAUCUAAUUUGCACGACCUAAAUUGGUCUUAGUCACUAAUCUCUCAACUCAAAAAUCUCACUUAGCAUCCAUAUGUAAACUUAGCCUCCCCUUUGGCAGAAACAAUACUCCAAAUCAACAAUGACUGGUCGAUACCAAUAAACAUAUAACUCUCAUAAAAAAACCACAACACAUUACCAAGGUAAAAGUUCCAUAAAAAAAAUUUGCAUCCAAAGGAAGAAUAACCUUAAUUAUAGUAAUAUUGGAUAUUGAAUAUUGUGCAAAAUAUUUGUCCUCAAUGAAUCACACGUACACAUGCACAAGGCAGUGAUAACUAGCGAAUAGUGCUAACAAAUGGGGCAAUAGAGGCCCAAUAGGGUAGUAAGUAAAGUUUUUUUUUAUUAAAUGGAAUAUAAGAAGUAUUUUAACCUUUACAAUUAAAAAAAAAAGCACAAUCUUAAUCCAACAUAAUAACAAGUAGUAACUAUUCACAUAUCUGACAACAACAAAAAGCCUAAUACAAAACAAACACUACAACCAUCUUAAACAAGGGAUGCCCCCACCUUCCCACAACAUAGAUUCCCUACAAACUGCCUAUAAGGUAGUAAGUAAAGUGGCCCAAUGUUUGUUUAGCUUUUCCAUAUAUACUCAUUAUGGUAGUUAUUUUAAACCAAUACUCAAAAUAAUCUACGUCGAUUCAUAUUUACACAUCACUUAUUUAUAUUUUUUUACUGUUAAUUUCUAUAAAAACUUAAUUAUUUCAAUGCAAUAUUUCUACAAAAAUUACAAUAUUGGUGUCUAUUUACCACUUUUUGUUUCAUCCUUCAAUAGAGGUGGCUAAUAAGAUGAAUCCCUAUUAACCAAAGUAAAUUUCAUUGGUGAUAUUGGUCUAACAUAAUUGGCUGAGCUCCCACGUUAUGAAGAAUACAUUUUACUGUUUUACGGAUCCAAGCGCAGAAUUAUCAGCUACUAGAAACGGACCACAAUAUGUUGCAGUUCGGGACUAUGUCAUUUUACUAUGUAUUUCAUCUCAACUCUUCACUUUAGAUCAUAUAAUUACAAUAAAAAUAUUAACUACUACUUAAAUAUAUUAUUAUUUAAUUUAAUUAUUCAGAUUGAAAUAAUUUUUAUAUCUGUAAACAUGAUGCGGUGGAUAUAUAUAGGAUUCUAUAUUUAACAAGAGAAAAGUUUAAGGAAAUAGAUUAAAUAUUCAUUUCGAAAUUCUUUUUAUUGUCUGGUUUCUUGUAACUAAUAUGAGAAUAUGGAAAUAAAUGGAUUUUUUUUCUCUACUUUUAAUUUUACCCCUAUUUUUCUUUUCUCAUUUUUUAAAUCUCAUCAUAAUUACAAAAUUGUUUUCCUUUCCCUUACCUUUCUUUCCUCUCACUUUUCUUGUUUAAUAAAUCAAACAUAGAAAUAAUGAUUUUAAUCUAUGUUGUUGGGAAUGGGUUGAUUAACUACCUUGGAUAUAGGAUUCUAAUUUUUAUGCUUUUAUGUGUGAAGUAACAACGUUCCCAUAAUGCGAUAGUAAACAAACUUGAAUCUUCUACACAUUCUUUACUCUCUAUCUUUUAUUUUGUUUCUCUCUCUUCCAUUUGAUGGAGAGGAUCAACUUCACAAGGUAUACAGUGACCAUUCCAAGUGAUGGAUGUCAACGUAGAUUUUGAUGAGCUCAAAAGGAUUGGCCACGGUUUGGAUCGAUGGGGUGGAUAUGUAGGUGUAGAAGAUGGAUACGUCCAUCCAUCCAUGACUUAUGAAACCUUUAAUGUUUUGCUUGGAAAAUUGAGGAUAUAACUAAUAAGUUAGUUGAUAGGUGAACUUUAAAGUUAAUUCAUUUAGGUUGAAUUGUUUGAUAAGAGUAGUAGUUAAUAUAUAGUUAUAAAAUAUGUAAAAUGACAAAAACUAUUUGUAAUUAAUUUUUUUUUAAUUAAGACAAUCAGAGUAAAAAUUGAAGAAAAAAUAAAACGUUAUAUGUUCAAUUAUUACUUCAAUUAAUUUUAUCAAAAAACGUUACAAAUCCAUAAAAAAAAUAUUAUCAAAUAAAACUAUUAACUUAAACGCUAUAAACUAUAUCCGAUGUAAAUAUUUUUUUUGUUUUAAAUAGACCGUGUGACUUUAUUUGAUAAAUUGUGGAUAAGCUAGCAACUAACCUAAUAAAUUUGAAAUUACUAAUAAAAUGAAGUGAUAGAUAUAAAAUAAUAUUUUUUAAAUUAUUUAUUCCGUCUUACUGUGAGUGACUCGAUUAUAAUUAAAAAUUAUCUCAAAAUGCACAUAUUCUUCCAAAUUUUAAUGUAUUUUUCUUUUUUACUCUGAAAUUAAUACUCAUUAUGUCCUAAACACACCCUUGCUAACAAUUUGGCAUCUGUAAACUAUUAAGAGCUAACAAUUUGGCCUACAUGACAAAAGUAAUUUUUCUUACGAAAUUGCACACGCACGUGUAAAUAUUUUAAACAAGGAAAUAUAGAGUUUCUUUUUCGUGUUUGCUAGAAAUAACAGCUAGGACAGACAAAAAAAAAAGAAAGAAACACAUAUAGGAAAAGUUGAAAUGAGCCAAUAACAGUUUGUUGGUCAACAACAUCAAUUGCGUAUUUGCAUGUUUGGAUUCCACCGAAGAAUCGUGCAUGUUAACGCAGACCCCAUCCGGAAUCUCCGUUGGCACUACAAGACUAAAAUAACACUGUGAGUCAGUAACUUGGUACUACGUAACCGAUGUGACAUGUCCUUCAUUUUUCUUCACAAAAUAAUCAUAUUUUUUAUUUAAACUAAAAUAGAUAAAUUAAUUGAAAAUAAUAUAAAUUUGUUAUAUCCAUGAAUAACAUUAAAUUGAAAAUUGUUUACAAAUUUAAAAUAAAAUAAAAUUAUCGAAAUACUUACAUUAUCACUCUGCAAUGUUUACAACUUUAAAGUGAUUGGUUGAAUUUUUUAGAUAUAUAUUAAAUUAAUUUUUCUAUUUUAAUAAAAUAAAUAUUAUAAUAAAAUGAAAAAAUAAAUAAAUUUGCACCGAAAAAACAAACAAAACAUCAUAACAUAAAUACAUAAAGAAAAUAUAAAUUUACAAAAAAUCACUUAUUUUGAUUAAAAAGUACAUAAAACAAUAUAGAAUAAUAAAAACAAUAUAAAAUUAUGAUACCAGACUAAAAAUAAUUUAUAUUUUUUUAAGAUAAAGAAGAAAUAGUUAAAUGAACAAAAAGUUUAGAUGGCUAUAUUAAAAACAUCAUGUCUUUAAUAUAGUUUGUAUUUUUCUUAUGAGAGAGAAAUAUCAACAAAUAAAUUUUUGUUUACUUCAAAACUAUAUUAAUUAUUUUUUUUACAUAAACAAUAUUCAUUAUUGAUAGAAUAGAGAAGAACACACUUUUUCAAAAUAAAAUAAAAUAGAGAAUAUCACAAAUUCAUAGUUACUAAAAGACUUAAUUGCAGUUUUAGUCAUCGUAUUUUAACUGAAUCACAAAAAUAAUCUUCUAUUUUAUUUCUCCUCAGUUUUGGUCCCCUAAAUAAAAAUUUGGUCUAAAACUUGAUAAAGUGUCAUUUUUUAAAAUCAAACCACACCAUUUAUGAUCAUAGAUUUCAAGUACAAUUAUUGCACCACGAGAUAUUGAAGCAUAGUGUGACUUAAAUAAGCGCAAAAAAAUGACAUUUCAUCAAGUUUUGGAUCAAAAUUCUAUUUGAAAUACCAAAAUUAAAGAAAAAUAAAAUGGAGAGACUGUUUUUGUGAUUCAGCUAAAAUAGAGGAAUUAAAACUGCAAUUAAACCUUAUUAAAAUUAAAAUUAAAAAUUCCAGCAAACACUUAAGUUGCAUUUAAGUGCUUUCUUUAAAGGCAUUUGCGUGUUGAUAAUUCCAUUAUUUUAUAUAUGUGAUUACUGAUUAAUUAUUAUAUAUUCUAAUAUAUUUUAAGGACACUUGUUAAAAAUAUAAAUUUAGAAUUAUAUGAAAAAUAAUUUAUAUAUAGAUAUAAAAUAUUAGAAGUUGUAUCCGUAAGGUUAAGAUCAAUUGUUAAAUGUUGAAAUUGUUAGAUCGAAUAUCAUGUUUUUGAUUCGAACUUUGGAAACUCAUAGUUACAUAUGAUUUUUUAUCUUUGCAUUUAAAGAAAAUAUUAUAAAUAUUCUCAAUUCAUUAAUUAAAAAAUUCAUAUAAAAAAAUAUGUAGUAAAAUAUACUCCAGUAUCAAGACUGAUAAUUAAAGUAACAAUGUUGAUUUAUAAGGAAGUGGGUUUGAAUUGUAAAUGUUUCUAUUUAAAAAUUUCUGAAAAACUUAAGGAUUUAACUCAAGAAUGAUCUUGGUUAAGAAAACACAAAACAAAUAACGUUAUUGGCUUUCACCAAAAAAACGGAUAACGUUCUUGAUUAGUUUGAAAAACAGAAAUUCAGUUUAUGUUUUAAUUCAAGUAAUUAAUCAGGUUUAAUAAAUAAGGAGAUAACAAAAAGAAUACUACACAAGGAUGUAUCGUGAUUCAUUCAACUUGUGCUACGUCCAAAAACUCACAUAAGUGUUUAAAACAAAUAACCUUCUGGAUUUUACAACACCUAAUUCAUAUCAGACUUGAUCUAUUACAAGAUAUAUUUCUUUUCACCCAGAAAGAUAUAUAUUUCUUUUCACCCAGAAUAGAUAUAUAUUUUAUUUAUUGCAUUUUUUUGAAAAAUAACUUGAACCAUCUUAAUUUAUGCGUGUUUGAGAAAUGACGAUCAUGGAAUCAGGUUAAUGACUAUUGUAUUUUUUAAUACGUGGAAAUAAACUUAAAUAAUAUUUAAUUAAAAAUAGAGGAAUUAAUAUUUAAUUUAAUAUAAAAAAUUUAACUUUAUAUUUUCAUUUUAAUUUAUUAAGUGAUACGUUUAGCAAUUUGUGGUGUAAAAGCUUCAAGUUAUUUUGUGGUGAGACCCACCCAAAAAUGUAUUGUCACUAAUCACUAUACCAGACAACGGGGGCAGGUCUGCACGUGUAGCUUACACUCUUUUGUACUUUGGUUUUGGGAUUUGAGUUGUCAAAAAUGAGUAAUUAAUUUUAAAAUUUAAAAUAAAAAAUAUCAUCAAUAAUUGAAUGAAUUAUAUUAUAUUAUAUAUAUAUAUAUAUAUAUAUAUAAAUUAAUUAUGAAUAAUUAUAAUAUUAAUAAAUUUUGGAGAAUUGAACGUGGACAUUUUCUUUUCGUAUAAGACCAGAGAUGUCGAUACCAAUUGACAUGGACAACCUCAAAAAACAAAUAUUUUUUAAAUAAAUAAUUAUAAUUUUAUAGUUUCUUAUAAAAAAAUAUUUAUAUAUCUAUUAAUAUAUCUAUUUUCUUUUAAAAAAUUUAUCACUUAAUUAAUAUAUCUAUUUCUAUUAUUUUUUAUAUUUAAUCUCUACUGUACUUAUAAAUAAAAUAUUUAUAAUAAUAAAAAUUAUUAAGAUAUGAUUUAAAAAUAAAUUUAAAGAUAUAUUUCUUGUAAAUAGUUUAGUUUUUUUAUAUUAAAAAAAUUAUAUUAAUUAUCAUAAAUUUAAUUAUUUAAAGUGUCAUUUAGUAUUAUUUUAUCAAUAUAUAAUUUGCUAAAAAAAAUUGGUCAUCUCUUAGCGUAGAUUCGCCGUUGUAUAAGACAUUCUCUUUCUUUAAACAACUAACAAAACAAAAUAUAAUUUGCUUUCAAAAAAUUUAUGGCAACUAAAAGAUGCAUUCCCAUUGAUUAUUUUCUUUUAGGACAGUUGAAAUUAAUUGAUUUCCUUAGUUUUUAUUUAAUCGAGUUGAUCCUUUUUCGCAUAAUAUAUCAUGUUUGAUCGAGACAAAUCAAUCUGUUCAAGUGAUCUGUCAAAUAAUUAUGCUAUGUGUAUCACCGAUUAGCCCAGAUGUUGGAUUUCCUUUUUUCUUAUUGGUUUAAGGAGGAUUCACUGCAUGUCCAUAAAAUAAUUAUCUAUUAAAUAUUUAUUUUCCUAUCAAAUUUAAAGACCAAUAUAAAAUAAAAGGAGGGAUACUAAUAAAAAUAGCGAUACAGUUUAGUUUAUUUGUAAAAAUACGAUAUUUUAUUUUAGUUUAAUUUAAUUUUCAAUAAUAAAAUUAGUGAUUGUGUUUUUGUUAAUUAAUUUUAUCUUAAAAAAAAUAUUAUAUUAUAAUUAACUCAAACAAUUGUAAAAUUUUAAGUUUGAAUAGAACAAAAUAUUUUAUAUUAUAAUAUUAAUUUUUAUCAUUUGAACUACGAAUUAACAACUUUAGUUUAUUUUAUUUGAGUUUAAAUUUUUAUCUUUUUUUUACUAAAAAUAAAAUAUUCUAUUUUUAAAAUAAGAUAUUGUUUUAACAUAAGCAAGUUUAUAAAUGAGAAUUAUAGCGGAGAGACCCAACACCCACCUCAAUGACAUUAAUUACAGAAUUGCAAUAACCACAUAUUUAUGCUCAAUGAAUAAGAAAAUUAUGGAUGCAUUAUAAUCAGUUUCGUUGACCAAAUUAUUGAGCGUAAAAAGCAAAAUUGUUUACUUGUAUUAAUAUCUUUUUUUUAUAUUGAAUUGAUAUUUUUUUUUAUUAGAGUAGAAAUAUGUAAUUUUUUAAUUAAUUAUAGAUUAAAUCAAUUUUUAUAUAAUUACGAUGUUUUAGGUUUGAAUUUAAAAUGUGAUAUUCAAUCUAAUAAUUUUAAUAUUUGUUAAUUAAGUUAGAUCUUAUAAAUAAGGUUGACUUCUAACGAUAAAUCAAUUUUAAAAAUAAAAUUAAUGUAAUUAAAUGGAGAUUAUAAACUAUCACUCAAAACUUUAGCUAAUGAAAAAAAAGGUAAGUCUCUAACCUAAACGUCUCACACACAAAAUAUUCUGGACGAGCAAUAACUUAAUGAAACUCAAUAUUGUCACUUUCACUGUUCUUCUGUUGCGCGGGCCUUCGAAUCGGUUUUGGGCCUCAUUGAAAUCAAAGACUAGCUCUUCCAAAAAAGACUUUCAGCACAUAGUUUGUCUUCAGUUCGUCUGGAUGGUAGCUUACUCUAUCAUCCUCUAUGUUUUUAAAAGUUUCCACGAUACAUUAUGAAUUUACCAUUCCAAAAAAUAUCAAGAAGUGAGAGGAGAAACUAUUGUCUUCGUCAGGAUUGGCCUCAUUUAGGUUACACCCCAGCGGUUUGUCCUAUACUCCCAACAAUUCAAUAAAAUUAGUAGUCAUUCAACUAUUCUAAUAAAAAAACAAUUUUAUUUAUAAAUAUUUUAGAAAAAUUCAGAACACAAGUUAGGAAAAAUUUAAGAUAAAGAGAUGGUGUCUCAAUUUAAAAUACAUAAUAUUUUCAACUUUAUCGAAUAUAUAUUGAAUCUCACGAGAGCACCACCAGCUUGUGCGAUCUCCCCCAUUGUAUUUGAGGGAAGAUUUUCAUCUACAUGGCGUGAACUAACGUUUUUUAGUUUGAUUCAAUCACGACCUGCAACCACCCAUUAUCCGACGUGGACUUUAAUUUAAUAAUAUCAUAAAAUCUAUUUAAAAUUUAAAUAGUUGGAUUACCUUGGAAGCCGUAACCGCACUUCUAAAUGUAAUCCAAAAGUAUUGCAGCGAGGAAGCCUUCCAUAGUCACAAGAUUAUGUUACAAGUUUUAGGUUCACUAAAAAAAGUAAACUGUAGAAAUAACUUUUUUUUUUUAAAAAAAAAUUUUAAAUAAUUAAAAAAAAUUAUCAUAAAAAUCAUAAAAGUUAUGUUGAAUCGAUUUGAAUUAAUAAAUGUUUUUUUAGUCAAAAAAAUAAAAUUAAUAUUUUGUGAAUGUGUUUUGAGUAUGUUUGAAUGAGGUAAUUGAAAAUUAUAGAGAAAUUAUAAUUAUAGGUAAUUUAAAUGCUUCAAUUGAACUCAUUUUAAUUCUAAAUUUUGUUGUUUUGAUAAAAAAAAAUUAUUCUUUUAAAAUUAAACUCUUUUUAUAAAUUUAAAAAGUUUAGAGACAAAUAUGAAAAAUAAAUUUAAGCCAAAAUUGACAUUUAAAAAAAUUAAGGCACUAUUUUGGAAAUUUUAAGGAAUCAAUUUACAAAUUUGAAAAUUUUUAGAGAGCAAUUCGUAAAAAUAAAAAAUAGGUACUAAUAUGAAAAUUUUGAAAUAUAUAAGAUUAAAAUUAUAAAUUCAAAAAUAUUAUAGUGACUAUUUCAUGAUUUAUAUAUGAUAGUGACAUUUGAAAUUUAUCUAAAUUUAUCUUUGAAAAAAUAGUUCAUGACAUCUUUCAUUUUGAAAGUUCUCUGUAUAAGAUAAUUUGCAUUAGAGAAUUUGAAUUCUUUAAAAAAAAUUACAUUCCCUAAAAGUUUCUUCAUCCAAACACAAUCUAAGAGAUUUAUAUUUGUUUUUGAGCAAAAAUACACAUGUAGUCAUCAAAGUUUUAUUUUAUUCUAAUUUAAUCAUUUAAAUUAUAUUAUAUUUGUAUCGUUAAUUUUUUAUCUCAAUUUAAACAAUAAUUGAUUUAAUUAAAAGUUUUUUUAUCAUUUAACACUCUAAUAAAUGCUGCCACAAUAUGUCAUUCAUUAUAAUGUUUCAGAAAAUAUUUAUCAAAUCUUAUAAAUAAUAUAUAUUUCUUGAUUUUUUCUACAAUAAUAUAAACACACUAUAAUAUAAAAAAACAAGAUAAUAAAUGUCUAUUUAAAUGAUUAAUAUAUUUAGUUACUUUCAUAUGUAAAAUAGUUUAAAUAAUUUGUUACGAUAUUUUAAUUAUAUAUUAAUAUUUUAUGAUAAUAAUUCAAAAAAUAUUUCAAAUUUAAGAUAUUAUAUAUAUAAUUUUAUAUAUUUAAAAAAUCAAUAAUAUAAAUAAAUAUAACUUAAAAAAUUGAAUCAGGACAAAAUAAAUUUAAAAGAUUUAAGUAAAAAUUAAUUUAAACUUAAAAAAUAAAAAAAUUAUUUUUGGUGUGAUUUUGUUGUGACCUUUCAAGAAUAAUCAUGCUGUGUUACAAAUAUAUUUAACUUUCAUGGUGGUCCACACGAGUGCACUUUAAUUUAACAGCGGCACCGACACCAGGUUCCUUCGUUACCGCGCAAAUUAACGGAAUUCCAUCUUUUCUCCAUUAAUGCAAUGCUAAUGAUAUUCAUCAAUCACUGUCCAUAAUUUAUUUCUUUCUUUCUUCUUCGAAUCUCAGAACAACGCUACCCUUUUUUCUUACUACUUGUUUGUUUCUCCCCAAAUGGGUUCUCUACCAGCGUUUCCAAACGACCUUUCUCCCAAACAAGGUAUUAACGGCCUCAUUGACGAAAGAACCCUCGCCAAUCUAUUCAAAUCCCAACAAAACCAUCUCAACUUCUUCUUCGACCGUAUCGACCACUCCCAAACCCUAGCUUUCACACGUACUCUUCUCGACGCCUCCGGCACCGUCUUUUUUACUGGAAUCGGUAAAUCCGGCUUCGUCGCUCACAAGAUCUCCCAGACUCUCGUUUCCCUCGGUAUCCGUUCCGCUUUCCUCUCUCCCGUCGACGCCCUACACGGUGACAUCGGAAUCCUCAGCGAUCGCGAUGUUCUCGUUCUCCUCAGCAAAUCCGGCGCCACCGAAGAGCUCCUUCGUCUUGUUCCAUGCGCUAGGGCGAAAGGCGCGCGUCUCAUCGCUGUCACAUCCGUCGAAGCGAGCGCACUUUCGACGGUGUGCGAUAUGAACGUGCAUUUGCCGUUGGAGAGAGAGCUUUGUCCUUUCAACCUUGCGCCGGUUACUUCCACUGCUAUUCAAAUGGUUUUCGGUGACACCGUGGCAAUCGCGCUCAUGGCCGCACGAAAUCUCACGAAGGAAGAGUACGCCGCUAAUCAUCCUGCCGGAAAAAUCGGCAAGAGUCUCAUCUUUAAGGUCCGCGUUUCUCUUUCGUACGAGUUUUCUGCUUUAUGAAUAGAUUGAAAUAACAGAAUCUGCAUUUCCUGUUGGCAAGAAGGUUAUAAAUCGCGGUUACUUAAUUAUCAUCGAUAUCGUGAAAAAUUGUAAUGUUUGUUUGAGAUCUCCAAUUUUAUUGAUCUGGAUUGCGACUUAGAAUUAGAACCUUUUUAAUCAGUGAAUUAAUCGGAUCAAUUUGGUUUUAGUGAAAACAAUUUUCAAGGAGAUAACUGCGAUAACAGUGUAGUUAAACUGUUAAAGAUCUCUAAAAUUGCAGCCCUGGAUUGCGAUUUAGAACCUUUUUUAUCAGUGAAUUACUGGAUCAAUUAGGCUUUCGGCGAAAAUGAUUUGCAAAGGAGAUGUAAUUGGUUGUGAUUGUGUUUGUGUGUAGGUAAGAGAUGUGAUGAAGAAGGAAGAGGAGCUUCCAAUCUGCAGCGAAUCGGAUUUGAUUAUGGAUCAGCUUGUGGAGCUGACGAGUAAAGGAUGCGGAUGCUUGCUUGUUAUAGAUAGUGAUCACCGUUUGAUUGGGACAUUUACCGACGGUGAUCUGCGUCGUACUCUCAAAGCUAGUGGAGAUGCCAUUUUCAAACUGACUGUGGGAAAAAUGUGCAACAGGUAACAACCGGCAUCUGCAUAAUCAUUAACCAUUUCCUGUGAAUCUCUUUUAUCCCCAUUUGCUUUUCAAAUUGUUCAAACUCAAAAGCUUGUUCUUUAGUUUUGUUUUUUGACAGAUAUUCUGUAGCUUAUUCAUUUUUUUACUUGGAAAACUUCAUAAUUUUCUUGUCAUAAUUGCUCAGACUCAAGCUUAGUCUUUAGUUUUUGCACCCUCUAAUUUUGGAAGUUAAUAGGAAUAUAAAGUAGGUCGUUUGUUUUGUUUGCGGAUGCAGACAUUGGAACUGUAUGAAAGAUUUGUGUGUGUUUGAGUAUUAUAAUUGAUUUUGGCUCUGUUAAAACUUAACACAUGAUUUUAAUAAAAAUAGAAGUUUUUGGGAAUGAACUUGCUGAGUUAAAAAUAUCUAAAAUAUAAAUCACUUCACUCAGUCAAUUUUAGCCAAAUAAAUUUGCAUAUGUGAUGCUUGGUGCACGACAGGUCUAUGGAUACAAACAUAUGGAUGCAAUAAUAUAUUGAUGUCCAACCUUUUUUGAAAUGUCAGGAAUCCAAGAACUAUUGGUCCAGAUGCUAUGGCAGUGGAUGCCAUGAAGAAGAUGGAAUCACCUCCAUCACCAGUCCAGUUUUUACCUGUGAUAGAUGAUGAAAAUGUCUUGAUUGGAAUUGUCACGCUGCAUGGUUUGGUUUCAGCUGGGUUGUGAUUAUGUCUGAAUAAUCUUAGAGCCUGUUUCGCUAUUCGUUCAUUGAAUCAUUCUUUCUAGCUAUUAGCAUUUGAAUCCGCCCCCAAUUCAAUAGGACUAUGGUGUUCUGUAACUCAAUCACCCAAGCAUUUCAGUAGGAUAUUUUUUCAUCUCAUUUUUGGUCCCAAAGGAUGCAAAUUAUUUGAUGCUAUGAUGGACGGUGAAUGCUCAUCCAUUCCCCCAAUUUUUUCAACUUUUUACCAAAUUUUAGUUUCCGGGUAUUUGGGUUGGGAAGGCAAAAUCAGAGGAUGAAUGAACAUUUAGCAUGUCGGACCUACUCAUCUUGUGGGUCUAGCUCUGUACUAGUAUCCGUGUGUCUAUUUUUGUUGUACUCGUGAAAUAAGAUAUUGCUGUAGCUGAAGAUUUUUGUAUAUUAUCAAUUUAUCACUGUAUAUUAGUAUUACUUGAAUUACACGUUUUCAAUUAUUUCAAACGCAUAUAUGGAUGGUUGAUGUUGGUUAAAUGAUUUUUUAUGCUGGCAUUGUACGAGACUAAAUAUAAUGAAGAGAUUAGUUAUGCACUGAUAUAAUUUUUUUACCCAUCCAUAAAUCAGAUCACAUUUUAAUACCACUUGUUAAUUGUUAUGAUAGCUUGUAAAAUAACUCAUCAAAUCUCUAUAGGCGGAAAUGUAAUUUGAUACAUAUAUAAAUUAAAUUUAUACAAAUAUUGAAUUAAGUGUGAACAAUUAUACAACUGGUGAGUUUUAAUCCAUGUCUAUUUGAAAAUCUUUACGAAUUAAAUUUCGAAGUAAAAAAAACAACAAAUAAAGUUCAAUUUCGAAGUAUGAAAAGUAGGAUGAGCAAUGGCAACCUUAAAAAACUCUCGAGUGUCGCUUCGCUGCAUAUCCAUAAUUCUUUCUUUGGCCUUCGCAUUUUAUUUAUAAUAUGUAGAAUAACAAAUAGGUUAUUUUCUUAUAAAUCAUGAAAACACACAACACACCCUGACUCUAAGGACUUGUACCGCCUUCAAAUUCAGUACGUUACUUCAAAUCCAAAUAACGUAUAAUUUGUUACAAGAAAGGAGAGCAUAUUCUGAUAUUUAUUUUAGCAAUUUAAAGUUACUGUAUCACCACAUUUUAAUGAAGAAAGCAUCUUCCUGUGUGUCCUGCGGCAAACAAGCAUAUACACCAAAAUGUAGGAGCAUUAGAGGAGAGGGAGAGGAAGAUAAUACAACAACAACUAACAACUCCGAGUACAAUGUGAACCAAUGACUCUGAUUACUUCUGACAGACGUGUUGGUUCUUUUGAAUUACUAAAUGGUGUUAAUUUACCUGCCAAUCUUUAUGACUGAUUAUACACUGCAAUACAAAAUCUUCUAGAAUUCUUGAUGAAUGUUUCAUCCAAACAACCGGUGCUGCUCUAUGCAUGAAAAUUGAUUAUCCUACACAUAAACCUAGAGAAGACUCUCUCUACCAAGUAAAUGCUUCCUUUCUGGAUCAGCUUUUCAAGCGUCAUCGGAUUCUGAAGAAGUAGAUGAGCUUGUACUAUCAGAUGAAAUUUCAAACAAAACAUUUUCCUGUAGAAAAGACAAGAAACGCGAGCUUGGAGUUGAAACAUCAGAAACUUUUGGGUCACCUACUUUCUUUGAAAUUGUGAAAUCCCCAAUUGCCUUGCUAUUAGGUUUGAUCUCAGCAGAAUUACUUCCUUCACCAAUGUUUAUUGCAGCAGAAUGGUGCCCCGCCAUUUUCUCUUUAGCUUUGAUCUCAUUUGAAAUUGCUGAAUGAAGUGAAGCUGUGUUCUUUUUUGAAUGAAUGCCAUAAGAACUACUGUGAAUGCUACUAGAACUCCACUUAACUUGGAAGGCUGUUUCAUUUUGUUUCCCUUCCGAAGUAUUUGAUGUAGCCUGUGGCUUACUCUGUUUCCACUUGUAGUAUCCAUCCCGCACUGGCUGCAAUAUAGGUUCUUUCAUCAAGUCUUGUGAAUCAAUUAAUUUUUCUGGGGUUUGUUUUGAUCUCUUGGAGGCAACUGAGCGCACGGUUAAACCAAGAUGCUCUUUGGCCCAUUUAUAGACUGCACUUAGUUUUCCAUCCAAAGCUUGAUGAAGAACAUCCAAUUCACUGAUUUCAUAACGGCAGAGGAGAAUUUUUUCUGUCCAAGAGCAAGAACAAAGCUGCUUUGCAUGAUCAAUACAUGCAAACUUGUCAUCUGAACACGAACAACCAACAGCAGACAGGAAUAAAUCACGCAGACAAAUGCUACACUCCCUUUUACAAUUGACAUCAAAAUUUUCAUCCAUCUUUUGUGAUUUCAAAGAAGUGGAAAUAAAUUUCCUUUUCAAAUUUUCACUCAUGAUGCGAGACUACACAAAGAAAACAAAUAUAAUUAGUUUGCAUAUGGUAUCCAACAUGAAAGAAGCAAACUAUGCAGGCAGAUCCAAACACAAAUGAAAACGAAAGAGGGAGAGAAGUCUUUCAGAACUAUCUUUUAUUAUUAAGAAACAAAAUAUAUGUGCCACUAUUUCUUCAUUUUCAUUUCCAAAUAUGAAUCAUAGAAUAUUUGUUAACGACUAACAUGAUUUGAGGUCAGCUAAUAAACAAUCUUAUCAAAUCUAGGAUUUAGAGCUGAUGGACUUACACUCAAAACUUUUGUUAAGAUCCCACUUCUUUGAUAGGCAUCUUUACAAGUUAAAUUGUCUGGCGUGCUCUUCAUACAUAUAUCAGUUUCCCAUCGGGCCCUCACAGCUUCCCUUGCUGCUCCCAGCAACAGCUUAUCAUAUGAAAUUGAUGUCUUCCUCUUCUGUUCACAAUGUAGCUCUACAACAUUCUGUCCAUGAGGCAGCCACUCAAGAGGAGCAAAACUUGUUGCUUCAGAACAGUUGAAACCACAAUCAAAACCUGAGUGAUAUGCUCCAGGGAAGACAAGAACAAAUUCACGAGGAUGCUGAACGCAACGAUAUACUGGUAUACUCUCCUCCUUCAAUACUGAGCAGGAUAACUGCAUAACCUGUACCAAAUACUCAUACUAAGAAUCAUAUUUCAUAUAUCAAAUAAAUUGUUUUUCUCUUGUGUGUUCUAAAAAAACCUUAACACGUUGACAUUGGCAUCUUUCGCGUAAUACUGUAAAUCAGGCUGAGCUAAAUAUGCUUCAGCAACGACAAACAAAAUUCCAAUGAGUUAAACCUAUGCUUCCUUUUCUGAGUGCCCAUUGACCAAUUAAAUUUCAGUUGAUAAAACAAAAGAACAUAUAAUAAUCAUUCCUUCAAAUUUGGGAAUCAGCUACAUACAAAAGAUAUUAAGAAAAAUCUUAAAUACAAAGCAGUUUGUAUGACUAUGGAACUUUUAAAAUCCAAAUUCACUAAUAAUAUAAAAUGAUACAACAUGCAUGAUGGAGAACCACUUUCUACAAAUGGUAAUAGUUGAGACAUAUUGACUAAAUGAGUGAAAUUAGUAAAUGAGUAGUCCGAUAGAGUCAGAAUCCAUCUAACCAAUGAUGUGAUAUUUGUCAAAUAACAUGCACAGAUUCACAUUGAAAAAUAUGAGAAAUUAAAGGGUGUUCAGCAUACACCACUGUUACUUUUCAACGAAAAACAAUUCUUCAAUACAAGAAGCAAUCAUAUUCUUACCAUAUUAUCAUGCAUAUCAGGAUGUUCUGCAUACAUAUCUCGGAUAUACUUCUUCCAAACUGUUUCGAAGUUAACAGCAAAUCUUCCUGGGACACUAUACCAUACUUUGGGUUCACCCAAAUGCAUGUAACAUAAUGAGUAUAAUCGGUGCUCUUCAACUUUCUGUUUUGUCAAAUGAUUAUAAAGGAUAGUAAAUAGGAGAUUCAUUAGUUACAUUUUGAACGGUAUCCAAAAGUUUUCACCAGAAAAAUUUAGGAAAAAAACAAAGGUUAUGAACAUGCAAGUAUAAUGCAAUAAAUCAAUGGCAUUACCCAUUUGAGUGGAGAAAAGCACAUUCCCACAUGUACCCUAGGGGAAAAUUUAUGUGCAGCUUCAGGGCUUUCAAAAGAAAGAAGAGAGCCUGGGACUGAAAGCAUAUUAUUUAAGUUCCAUCCAGAUUUCACAUAUUCAGGGUAAGUGUUUGCCUCUGGAGGAUCAGAAACUGUUGGAAUUGGAAAUCCACUGCUAAAAUCUCCAGCCUCCAAAGUGUUACCACAGAAAACCUAGAACAAUGUGGCAGAAUUACAUAAUUAAUAUUUGCACAGCUUAUCAGGACUUAAGAUAUAGAAGGCAUUACAUGUUUAAAUUAAAUUUCAUCUAUAUACCUUGAUUUCUUCAGUUGGAUUUUGAACAAUCCGUCCGUAUUCACCCUCAAUAUUCUCAACAGAUGGCUCCCAGUGCUGUUGGCGUAUAGCUGAAUUUAUAUCAGAACCCAUAAUCUUAUUCUUAUCCUUGUAGUUGAAGUACUGGAACUUGAAUUCAUCUGCCAAUUUCUUAAAUGUUUUGAGACUGAAUUUAGGACCAGGUUUAGGUUCAUAGUCGCAUUCUUGAACAUUCUCUUGAUUAGGGGUGCAAGUGCUUCUAUUACCAAGAUGAGAGUCCAUGGCUACUUUCAUCCCUUUUCUUCUCUUGGUUUCUAUAGUAUCAUAAGAGAUAGCUGUAUUUUCUGGUGCAGGCUGAACUUGGUGCCCAUCAAUUCGCUGAAUUUGAGCAACAAAUUCAGAGUUUUCCCAUACAUUUUUUCCUUCAAGAAUACUUGGCGGUUUCCAGCUAGUAGGAGGGAUGAUACGGCAAAUUCCAUAAGGUUCUGCUCUGGAACGUAUGCUAGCGAUAUAUUUAAGCGUGUCUUUGAAUUCCUUCAUGCAGUAAGCAACCAUAUAAAUCUAUGUUAUUUAAUUGGCUUUAUAAUGUAUUGUAUUUUAUAAACUCAACAAGCAUAUGAAUCCACAAUCCAUAUUUGGUGACAUAAAUCAAUAUGAAAACACAAAAGUGAACACAUACUAUUACGUAAAACUGGUAGGUACCUCUUCGGUUGGAUGAAAAAUUGGAGCUUCUCCUAGAUCUUCCCUUCUUACAUCCUCAGGAUGCCACCUCGCUAAUACCUGUCUCAAUACUUUGAUAAUUAAACAAGCGAACAAAAAACUAUAUAUAUAUAGGACAAGUAGUCAUCUCUAUAACAAUGUCAAUAUGGAAAGUUAAGGUGAAAGGCGUGUCUACCUUAAUACAAUUACUGCAGUUUGGACAUCCAAAUACGGUCCCUUUUGGAAGAGAAGAAUUUGUAUGGGGAUUCUGGAAGAAUAAAAACGAAGUUUAAACCCAUACAAGGAAUUCUGUCUUCAUACAUAAAACAAACCAGUCAUUUAGUAAUAGCAUUUUAAGGUUCUAAGAAAAAUAAAGAAUCUGACAGAAAAUGUAGGAAAGUAGAUGACUACAGAGAAAUAAUUAGUGCUCUCUGCAUUUGGAUUCUUAAUCUUGAUUAACACUGAACAGAUUUCUUAGAUUUACAUUGUAGCAUGAAUGCAGUUAUCUUUAACUGUUCCUAACCAACUUCUAAGUUCUAACACAUAAUUGAGUAUGUUUGAACAGAGUCAUUGCAGCUGUUAGCCUGUUACAGCUGAGCUGUCACCUCACAACACUAAGAAAGUUGAUAAUAAAACUAACUUAAAUGCUGUCAAACAUAACUGGACAUAUACUCCACGAAAUCAUACAAAUUUGCCACGAGUUACUUAAUCAUAUUGUAAAUCAUAAUUGUAAUUAUAUAUGUGAGUGUGUAUUCUACCAGUAGCAGUAAUUAGAUGUUGCCUAAUUCACACCUAAUCCUUGAAAAAAUAUCCAAGUAGUCCUGCAACCCAAUGCCAAAUCACCAGACACAUCACACAAGCACAUAUGCAGAUUAUUAAUACACUAUUUGUAUGUAAAUCAGGUCCUAAUAGCAAUGCAAAUUUUGAAAAAGAAGAUACAAUCAUAAAAAUUCCAUUUGAAUUGUUUUUAGUUUUCCCAUCGCCGGAGGACAUAUCAAUUGUUAAGGUGUCUCAGUCAUUGCUGAAAAUCAUUAUCAUUAAUCAAUCAAUUAAUCAACAAAUGCGACACUGAUUUUUCAAAUGGUCAAGAUCAUUACAAUUUAUUCAUAUUUCCAUACUUUUGCUAAUGCAUCUCAUUUCAAACUCAACAUUUCUGGGAUCUAAGAAUUUUUUUUGCAAAUUACCAACUUAACCAUUGGAAGAUGGUCAUUGUGAGAUUCCUGAGGCUUGUGGUUGCUGCUCUGGUCCAGCAAUAUCCACGGCCGAUGUGUAUAAAUCUCAUUUGGGACGAUGUUUGUAGACUUAUCCGUUUUGUUAACCUUUUCAUCCCUUUUCAAAUAAAAAGACGUCAGGGAUGCAAAACCAGGUGGAACUGAAACAUGUUCCAUCUUCUUGAUUUUGGAGCUAUUACUUUCAUAGUUUGCUUCCA
rnacentral:lncRNA from 1 species